rnacentral:lncRNA from 1 species
AGCAACCUGGAUUUUUGUUGAAGAGUGGUUAUCAUAGUAGUGGAGACCCAUCAACCAAUACUGAUGGAGCUUGCUCUGUAAAUGACAUGACCUAUACAGAAGCAGAAGGUCGCUAAGGGGAGAACCAGACGUAUAAUCAGACCGACUUAUAUUAUUCAAUUGAGAAUCACAUGAUGAGUGAGAUAAGAAGAGAGGAUAUACCCCGAUUUCACUCAAUAAUUUUCCUUAUAACUAGGGAUCUAAGUUCUAUAUUAAUAUGCAACACUCAUCAUCUGUCUUAUUGUAAAUACACGUUAUAAAAUAUAUGCCCUAUAAUUGGGGAUCUAAGUUCUAUAGCUGUUAUACUCAUCAUCUGUCUUGUUGUAAAUACAAGCUAUAAAUUAUUUGCAACAUUCAGCAUCAGUCCAACCAAGCUUGUGAAAUCCCGUUCCUGGAUUUCACUGUUAUAAUCUACAUGUUUGUAGUAUUGAGAUUUUAUAUUAUUUUUCAAGAAUUUAUAUUAAUUUAUUUGAAUUUAGAUUUCAAUUAAACUAGUUACGAAGAGUGAAGUUUGGAAAGUUAUUAUAUACUUGUUGACCUUUUGAGGUCAUAAGUAACGUUUUCGAAUAAAGCUUGAUCCCACGAAUGCAUAGGCGAAAGGCGUUUGCAAGUCUGGAUUAUAACGGUAUAGUUAAAGACGUUUGAAGUUGUGAUACUAUAAAUUUUAGGAAUUGAUUAUCUCCCACUUUGUGGGUAAGGGCCCAGAUAGAUAUGGGGUUAAGUGGACCAUCAGAAUUGAAAAAAAAAGGGGGGGGGGGGAAGCAACCAAUCAGGAAAGAGGAGGAAAGAAAUGAGAAAGAAAAAGGAAAAAGGAAGGAGGGGAAAAUGCCCCUUUCCCGUCGACCCACCCAACUAGGUUUGACCCGGUUCUAAUUCCGGCGGUUUCCGCUAUUUUUUCCGUCGAACCACCACCAACCAACAACUGCAACCUCUUCUACAACAUCUCAUCUACCAUUCCCACCCAAAAUCAUAGGAAAUUUAGUUGUAGUUUGGUGAAAAACACACCAUGGGUACCGUGGGAAACCUCGUCAUGAUUCAUCAUUUGUGAAACGAUUUCAUUCAAUUACCACCACCAUUAGACUCUCCUUGAACCCAGGAAUAAAGCCCAAACAACCUUGGAGACGUCGGAGCAAGUAUGGAGUUCGUAUUGAAGCACACCUAAUUCUAGGGUUCUGGAUGUUCGUGGGUGAUUUCAGGAGUUUCCAGGCCAAAUUGGCCUUAGCCAUAGGUAUAAAAAUUACUCCCCUCAUUGAGAUCUACAUGCCUGUAAAAUUUGGUAAUUUUUGGAAUUAGUUGAAUUUUCCGACAAGUCGGGGCGGCCGACUGCCAUGUGCGGCGGCGCAUAGGCCGAAGUAACCCCUGACCUUCCUAGGAUAAAUUUGAUACCCCAAUUCCAUAUGUGAAGUCUGAUUGACGAAAUCUCGUCAUAUGGUUAUAGAUUUGAUGGAGACCGCCACUUAGACAUUAUAUGAAUCGAUGAUUAGAUUGUUGGAUCGUCACCAAAAUUUAAUAUGUUAUAGUAUGUAAUAUUUGAGGAUAACAGGAACUUACGGAUUGGGAAUAGAUGUACGGAUCUUCCCGAAUUGGAUUUACAAGUUUGUAAAAUAAAACGUCGACAACCAUUUAAAUUCGUGAUUGGCGGAGAUCCGACCGUUUGAUCAUAAUGAAAUUUUAGUAUGUUAUUCUAGAAGCAUAAUGUGGACUUUGGGAAGUUAUGGAUCAGAAAUCUAAUGUGCGGAUCUUUAGGAUCGAAUUACGUAGAGUUGUGGACCCUAUCGUUGACAGAGAGUUGAUUUGUGGUCAACAUGUCUCGAAACGUUCUAAAUAAUAAAAUUAGUACUACGAGACUAAUUGAAGUCUAGUGGGCCUAUAUUGGUUAGAUAGUGACUUGAAUAUAUGAGAUAUGAUUAUUAUCUUGAUUUCUUAUGUUGGUAUCAUUUGUGAAUAUGAUUUGGUCUUAUAAAUAUGAUUUCUAUUGAAAUGUGAUUUUUAUAUAUUUAGCCAUAGGCCUAUGCUUAUUACAUAUGAUUUGGCUUGUGUACUGAUGAUGUUUGUGAUAUAUAUGUGUUUAAUUAUCUUUUUAAUAAUAUGAAUGAUAAUUAUGAUGAAUGUUAUGACAAGUAUGGGAUCUAAUUAUUGCUUGAUAAUUAUUUGGAUAUGAUUGCCAACUGAAUACCUAUUUGAACUUGGCAUUACUACCUAGUAUGUGAUAGGGAUGAAAGUCUGGAGAUGAGUUAGGUACUUUAUUAGAUUUUUUUAGUAGAAAUAGUAAUUAGGGGAAUUCCUUAUGAUGUGCUCCAUAUGACUAGAUGCUGGUUGAUAUGUGGAAUCGAUAGCGUGUAUACGUAUAAUUGGGUAUAAUGUAUGAGGCUAGAUAAGCCUUUUGUGUAGAGUAGGAAAAGAUAUGGUGAAAUGGGGUCGCCCUGUUGAAUCCCACGAGAGGGGAGGAGGUAGCCACAAAGACGACUGUUGAUGACAAAAGAGUACGAUACUGAGCAUACGAAUUCCAUCACCAGAUUGGUCUAAUUCAAUGAGAACCCCAUACGAACUAAAAUACUCUUGAGAUAAUCCCACUCAAUUCUGUCAUAUGCUUUGUUAAUGUCCAAUUUUAAGGAUAAAAACUCUUUUUUUCCUCGAUGGCGCUUCAUGAGGGAAUGGGAGAUUUCUGAAGCCAGAAUCAAAUUGUCUGAUAUCAUUCUUCCCGGAACAAAUGCGUUCUGAGCAGGAGAUAUGAUGUGGUUUAGAAUUCCUUUCAACCUAUUUGCCAUAACUUGGAAGCAAUCUUAAACAGGACGUUACAAAAGCUUAUGGGCCUGUAUUGAGAGAUAUCAUUAGGGUCAUUUACUUUGGGGAUGAGGCAAACAUGGGUGAAUUUUUUUUUUUAGUAACCUGUCCGAUUGGAAAAUGCAUUGGAUGGCGUUCGUCACAUUCGCUCCAACAAUGGCCUAAUAUCGUUAGAAGAAAAAAGGGGACAUUCCAUCGAGCCCCAGCACUGUUGAAGGUUGCAUAUUAAAGAUAGCAUCCCGAACCUCUUCAGCAGAUACAUGCAAAUCCAAUCUGAGAUUCAUCUCCGAAGUCACCCGACGAUCGAUGGUUUGGAGCACCUCCUCACCACCCCCCGUCGGACCAGCUUUAAAUAAGUCUUCAAAAUAGUUUAAGAUCGAGGACUCGAUACCCUUUUCAUCAGAAAUCCAAUUGCCAUUGCUACCAUAUAACCCUUUGAUAAGAUUUUUGGACUUGCGGUUUUUAGCCCGUUUGUGAAAGAAGCGAGUGUUCCUAUCGCCUUGGCUGAGCCAUAGAGAUCGAGAUUGUUGGUGCCAGUAAGUUUCUUCUUGACCCAAUAAGACAUCGAGACACUCCAUUGGAAGCUUCCUUUCAGCUAAGGCCGCCUCUGACAGUGGUUAAGCAAGAAUAAAACCAAGUUUCAAACGUAUUUCGUUUAUAUCCUCAAUACGUCCUUUGAAGACCAUAUGUUGCCACUUAAGAAGGGCAAUCCUGGUGGCCUUAAUUUUGUGGACCACUUGGAUGUGUACCCUGGUUACAGGACGACUUAAUGCCUCCUCUAUAACAUUCUCGCAGUUUUCGUGGGAGGCCCAAAACUUCUUGAAUUAGAAUCCAUGUCGACAUUUCCUCCUGGGAACAAGUUUCCCGUCUAUGAAGAGAAUAAUAGGAACAUGAUCAAGUUUUGUGGGAUCCAUAUGGUGAACUUUGGCAUUACAGAAUAAGAAUCUCCAUAGAGGGAAUGCCAAGACCACCCGGUCCAAACGUUCUUUUAUGCCUCCCGACUGCGUGGUGAUCCAGGUGAAUUAGUUUCCAGAGAAACCAAGGUCCAGGAGAUUGCAAUUAGACACCGCCAACCUGAAGUCGAGAAUCUGCUUGAUAGGCCUAGAUGGGCCGCCCUCAUUCUUGUUAGCGCUGAGAAGCUCAUUGAAGUCCCAUCUCAUAAUUCAGGGAGGGAACUAGCUGAUGCUAAAGAGCGAAGGAGGUUCCAGGUGGUUGCCUUUUCGGUUGUAAUCGGGUUGCCAUAAAAGCUAGUAAAUCUCCAGUGUAGAGGGUCGGUGUUGCAUCCAAUCUCUCAAUUGAUGUGAUUAUCAGAAGCAGAGAGAAUCCUUAAGUCAAUGCUGGAGUGCCAUAGCAAAUAGAGGCCUCACGCACUUCCUCGAGACUUGACACAAAAUGACCUGUCAAAACUUAACUUGAAUUUCAGAGACAAAAUACUAUGACGCGAAGAUUUGGUUUCACACAAGAAAACUAGGAUGGGAUCUUGCUACUUGAUGAUGUCUUGCAGUGCCUGAACUUUCCAGGGGUUCCUAAGCCCCCAGCAGUUCCAGAAUAAGAAUUUCAUGGUUUAUGAUGCGGUUGCACCCUGUUAACCGUCGCCAAUGAUGUCGAAGGUAGGUGAAUGUUCCUGCCCAGCUAGCCCCUAUUCUCAGCCUAUUCCAGCUCUUUAGAAGGGCUAAUAGCGAUGUCGCAAAGAUGAUCAGAAUCUAAAACCUCAUCGUCAUGUGCUGACCUGAGACAGGGGGAUUCAGCAUCCAUACGACUACCAGACCUGGAUUUGGAGCUACGAAGGUUCAGAUUUAAGAGAUAGAGGGGACGACCCUUUUUUAAGUUGAGGGAAAGUCGAGGUUUUUUGGUCAAGGGAGAGACCAAAAUUGACUUCACGCUUUUACCGUUGGAUUGCUCAGCCAGAUGAGAUGUAUGCUUGAGCUCAAGAUUGCUGAUGUGUAAUAAGUUGGUGCCAGGUGGAAAACAACCUUGGGCUAAGAACUUAGAGGGGCUGGUUUGAACAUGAUCUGAGGCUCGUAAAAACUCAUCCACAUCUUUUAAGGCCCAUAGAGGAAGCUUGUUGGGGUCACACUAGUUUUUUUUCCAAGGAAAGCCCAUUAACAGCUAUGGACAUGGUGUCGUUAGAGAAAGGGUUCUGUGAUUAAAAUGUGGCUGCCGAUCAGUACUGAUGAUAAGAGGGGACACGUACUUCUUUCUGAUGCAACAAUUGGAUCGUAGGGGGACAACGAGUUAGCAGUCGCAGUGAUGGCAGGUCUGACGGUCAGAGAAUUAUCGGUGUACUCUGCCAGUCUGGAUUGAUCAAGUUUGGCCUGUCUAGCCAGGAAUACGGUAGUCGGAAUGUCUGAAUCUUCGUCCAGCAGGUCGUAGAAACCAUAAUCGUCGAUUUCCCAUUUGCAUCUCCAAUGGUGCUUAUUAGCCCCAUCUCUGCUAAACAGCCUCGAAAUUGGGAAUAGUAGAAAACUCGCCCUAAACAGACUUUCGAUGCAAAAUGAUUGGUUGAAUCGGCUUUCACCAGACGGCAGAAUGGGAGUCGGACGAGGGCAGCCGCUUGAAUGACCUAGGCGACCAUACUUAUAGUAGAAAAUUCUGAAACCUUCAUAGCGUAGCCGAAUAGUAUAUGAACACAGCUUUGGGCAUGACACCGAGAAGCUGGUGAGCAAUGGUUUCGAGGUAUCAAAAUCGACUCGCAUGCGGAGAAAGCCUCUAAACCCCAUUUCCAGAGGAUCCUCAACCUCUAGAAUUUCCCCCAUCUUAAAACCCAGGCAUCUCACAUUCUUCAAGGUGCAUUAGUUCCUAGGGAUACCGUGCUCCUAGAUCCCAAUAAAUGGCCCUGUUAGGGAUUAUAUCAUCGAGAAAGUGAAAUGACGGCCAUAGUUUCACUGAGAAGGUAUAGUCCCUGAUGAACCAGGGAUUUCCUUCCAAAAGCCUCAUGGCGACAGCUUCUUCCCCAACUGUGAUAACAUACAAGUUUGCUUUUGCACAAAGAACGCGAAUAACCGCCAUCUUGUUCCAAGUAGAGCGAAUAACCUCCUUCACCACAGUCUGGGAAAAUUCAUGGUCAACGAUGAGUGCACAACGAUGAGUCUGCGAAUAACAUACAAGUGCCUUCGCCCAUGAGCGGUAGGUCUCGGGUUCGAGACUUGGGAGCAGCCUCUCCAUAAAUGGGGGUAAGGCUAGCCGACAUUCACCUCUCCCAGACCCUGCGUAAAGCAUUCUUACUAAAAUCACACUCAGUUAUUUUAAAUACUUCUAAACAAGCCCUAAAACACACCAAAAAAUAAAAACAAAACUGCAUAAUAAGAUGAGCAUUUCGGUUAACACGUACACCAAACAAUUGUAUUCAAAUGGCGGCACAUUUCCAGUACUAACAUAAUUUAGUCUAUCCACUUUGGUAACGUAAAGAAGAGGUAAACCAUGAAUUUAAACUUGGAGGCAGAUUGUCUGCCCUUUCUUUCCCAUGCCCUUCUCAUCCCUUUCUAUUUGUGCGGUCAUGGUUAAGCCACGUCAACAUUUUAUAUUCAUAUUGCUUUUUGUUUUAUUAUCUCUAUUAAAAAAUUAAUAUAAAAUAUUGACGUGGCUUAACCGUGAUCCUACAAAUAGAAGAAGAUGAGAAGGAUAUGGGAAAAAAAUGGCAGACAAUCUGCUCUUUUAAACUUUGGUACUUUGGCAGAAGAAAGCAAAAGAGUUAAAUAAAUUAUUGAACCAUGAAGGAGGUUGAGAUUUGUUUUUAUCUACACGAGCAAUUGAAAAGUCAAAAAGCAUGAGCUAACAAAAAUGGGUCGUCAUCACCAAGUUAGUUGGGUGACUUUUUCUUAUUAAUUUUGGAAGAUGGUACUAAAUUCAUAUUUUCUAUCUUGUUGAUCAAAAGGAAAAACUUAUAUGCCUCGGUUGAAAGUACAUUUAAAAUUGUUGAAAACAUUUUUAGUAAAAAUAUUUUUAAAAUCAAUUUUUUGUAAGAAAAAUUUCAAAUAAUUUUAGGCCCAAAAGUAUUUUUUUUACAAGUGUUUUCUAUUAUUUCAAAAAUACUUCCAAACGAGCUCAUAGUUAAUUAUAAACAUAAAUAGUUUUUUAAAAUAAUGUAUGAUCAUUAUCAUCUAUUCAUACAAAACACACAGAGUAAGGUAGCCAACCAAGAUAUACACAGUUGAAUGAUCCAUUUCUUGUGGGAAAGAAUCAUUUUCACACCAUUCUUAGUUCCAUGGUUCGAUUUCAGUCGUUACUCUUUGAUGGAUAUUUACAUAUACAAUCAAACUAUUUAGACACAAAAUUAAUUUACUUGAUAAGAUACUCUCUUAAAUAAGACAUGUAAUGUGUCCAAUUCUUGAUCAAAAUUAGGCUUUUAAUAUUCAAAGGCCGAGUGGCGUCACAAGAUUUAAUUAUGCAUGCAUGUCAUUUUCCUCAUGAAUUUUUCUUUUAACAAGAAAUGAUAGUAAUUUUCUAUUAACGAACGAUAGCAAAUAUUUAGGUUGUCGCAUGGAUACAAUUUCUAGUCACAAGACUCACAAAUAUAUGAUUUGGAGGUAGUUCACACAAACGAGCAAUAAUGCUAAUCCUUUAUUGGAUACCACAAGCGUGUGAACUAGCACAAGCACAAUCAGUACAAAUCUGCCACAAAGACGGCAGGUGCAACAUACUUAAUUAUACCAGUGCACCCAUAAUGUCACUGUCAUAUAAACGAGACCACAUUAAAUUAUCACUAACAAACUAGGCCACAUCAAAACCACCGCUACCAAAGUUUAUAAUCUUAUCAAUUAAAUGUCUUUAUUAAAUCUUUUGACAACAGAAAAGAAAGCGUCAUAAUUAAGAAAUUGAUUUAAUAACAGUGAGAUAUUAACGAGGCAGACCUUGCGUAGUUGCAUUAUAAAUAUGGAAGAAAACAUUCGACGGUAAUCCUAUCGACUAAAAAAAUUAAGCACGGAAUAUCUCAACAAAAAAUAAAAAAAAUAAAAAAAAGCACGGACUGCGUUUUAUUCAACCUAGAAAAUAAUAAACUGUGUUCUUUUGUCAACCGUGAAGUCGUAACCAAGUUAUUAAUCACGCUUGGAUCAGAGGGUUCACAUUUCAUGAUGCUUGUGUUGAUAUCGUUUGUGUUUCCUAAACAAAUUUGGACGGAGAACUUAAGGUCCGUCGAAACACGUUUACUUGGAAUGAUUUGAUCAAAGUUUAGCAGAGCGAGAAAUUUUUUAACUACGUGAUCAGUUAGUCUUACGAUGUUUUAUCUCUAAUAAGUAUAAAAUUUCUUAAAUUGACUUGGACGUUAUAGAAAGAUGAAAGUGAUAUAUUUAUACACUCAUAACUCAAUUUUACUUUACACAGAACUUUGUUAAUUGUUUGUUAUUGAUCUUCUUCGAUUCAUUUGAUUCGAAACUGAAAAUUAAAAGAGGUGUACAAAAAAUAAAAAUAAGUGCAUGAAUAGCACUAUCUUACUUAUAUUACUAGGUCGAGGAUCAUUGUGUCCCAAACUUGAUUAGAGGACUUGUCAAACUUAGCCUUAGUUUAGUACUAAGGUGAUUCUGAAAAAAAGUGGCUAUUAAAAAAAACUGGGAGUUUUUUUAUGUUUGGUAAACAUUCAGCUUUAGUUUUUUUUCACAGUUUUUGGUGAAAAAAACCCAAAAACACAAAGCUGCAAAACCCAGCUUUGAAAAACCAGUUUUUUUUUUACAUCUGUUUUACAUAAAAGUUUAUCAAACACUAUAAUAUUGUUUUUUUUUCAAAAGCACAUUUACAAAAAAGUUUAUCAAACACUCUGCUGCUUUAUUUCACAGCUGCUUAUUCUCAUAGCACAGCAGAAACAAUUUUUUUUUUAAAGUACAACAAUAUCAAACCAGCCCUAAUGUGAGAUUAGUGCUUUUGAAAUAUUUAGUGUAAUCAAAACACAAAGUGGUACUUUACAUGUCAUUAUCUAAUUAAAGAUUUUUUUUUAAUUAUCUCCUUAAUUGAAUAAUAAUAUAUGAUAUUUCACUCAUGUGCCACAUAUCUUGAAAAAUCUGUCGGGCCUUAUUGUAUGAAAGGGGGGGCGUGUAUAAUUGGUCACGUGACAAUAGGGGAAGAAACACGUGUAUUCUGAGUCGGCAAAUGUUUAUAGCUGGCAAUGUUGACUCUAAUAGGGGCAUUUAAGUAAAUUCCAUAGCAGAAGUAUAGUCGCGAAUCGCGAUUGAUUCCAUGCUUCAACUGUAGGGUAACUGUUGAGGUUAGAAACCAAAGGAAAAAAACAAAGUUACGAAAACACCCCCCCUGAAGUUUUAGCCAAAGACGGGACCUUUUUGUGUCGUUAAGUUGAAAAGCAGAUAAAUGAUGACUUUCUCCAAUAAAUACAGAGAUGCUAACUGGAUAGAUAAUUUCAGUGACCAAGCAAUUAACUUGGAUAGAGUUUGCACAAAAACACAAGAAGAGUAAAAUCCUUAAAGCAAAUAUGUCACAAAGUAUUAUAUACGCAACAAAUCCGAAUCGAUGUUUAGGGCAUCUAUACUCUAAUGAGAAAAUAAAAAUUUGUGAUAGAAAAAUCUUAUUUAUGUUUCUGAUAGAUGUAAAUGAAGCUAUACUCCAAUGAGAAUAAUGGAAAUUUGAGAUCCCAUUUAAUUUUGUCUCUUUGAUUAGCGGGACUCAUCACCAAAAUAUGUAAAAAAAGAAAUAAAUUUAAGUUUAUAUUUACAUUUUUCGACGAAGAUGAUAAUUUAUAUUUCACCAUUGGAUAAUUUUCCAGCAAAGAAAAAAAUUAUAAAAUGUCCAUUUCAAAGUACUUUUGAGAGAUGCCCUUGAGAAGAAAACUUACUUACCGUUAUAAUUGUUUAGUAAUCUGAAAUAAUUGUAUACCGUUAUGCAUUUUAGAAUCCAAUUAUGUAAAUAAUCAUUCAAUAUUAUGUGCUAAAAUCUAGUUAUGUAAAGAUAUGUGAUUAACUCGAGAUACAAUAGUUAUAACAUUCCAAAUUGCGAAUAAUCUGGUAGUUCUCGAAACAAAGAAAGAAAAAAGAAAAUAAAAACUAACGAAAAGUUCUCAAAAACUUUAGUUUUUAAUCAAAAGGACAAUAUAAAUUGUAAGUGAAUAGUACCAGAAGUGACUUUUCAAGGUAAAAAAUGUCAUUCACGUUAAAAGUGAACAGUACUAGGAGUGUUUGAUUAAGAUUCCAAAAAAAAAAACACUUUUGAAAACAAAAUGUGAGAAGGGUGUAAUAGUAAUUUCAUCAGGUGUAUUACAAUUGUUAUUUUUCUUUUUUGGCAUGAAAAUGCGUAUUAAUGUGUUGUGAGUGUAGGAUUUGGUGGUGAAAGUCUCUCUCUCUCUCUCUCUCUCUCUCUCUCUCUCUCUUCGCUCGAAGUCUUGAAGUCUUGAAUUCUCAAAGACACUCCACCAGUUGAGCACCCAAAAACCUCGUAAACCCUUUUUCUUCCAUUUCAUUUCUUUACCGAGUGACGCGAGCGAGUUAAGAAAUGGCGACUCAGUUACCGGACGAUUUCAAGUGCCCAAUUUCCCUCGAAAUAAUGUCCGACCCGGUUAUACUCUCCUUACGUCACACCUUAGAUAGGCACUCCAUCUAAUCUAAGUGUUGGACAAAAGAAUUUUUCCUGCACGAAAGUAUAUGCUCUUUUGUUUUAUUAGAAAUUGAAUUAGUUAAUUACUUGAAAUAUAGUUUUUUUAUUUUAUUUUAUAAUAUUUUCCGAGUUUCUGGAGGCAUCGACAAAGUCAAAUAUCCCUAACGGGGAUGUGGAUACCUCAUCGUUUGGCCAUAACCCAUAAGCACCUGACUUUUCCUGCAAUUAUGUUUAAGCACAUUGCACUCUAUCUUUAAAAUAAUAACAAUAAUAAUACAUCACUGUAUAUUUUUAAGUUAAGGGUGGAGCUAUCCACCUACCUUUUUUUUAUCUUUGACGUAUAUUUCUUAAUUUUUAAUCGUCGGAUUAUAUGAAUUAAAAAUGAUGAAAAUACAUAAGGUAAUAAAAGAUGUGUAAAAAGUAAAAAUAAAAAAUGUGUGGAUAGCAAAUUAACAACAUCCUAAAUUAAUAUCAACCUUACUUAGUUAUUACACCCAAUAAUCAAGUAUAGGAUGGAUUUGUGCUAGAAUUCUUGAUAUUGUCAAGGUCAAGCCAUGUAUUUGGAUCAAUAUGUUUUCAAUCUAGAAAAAAAUUAUGUUGAAAAUGAAAAUUUUGAGUGAAAUAUAUUGAUUUUUCCUAUAGUAUAAAUACGUGUUAAGUACGAUGACCUAUGAAUGACAUAUGACUUACAUUAUGAGGAUUGUAUUUCCACAUGAGUGUGUUAGGUAUCUAUUUAUAUAUACAUAUAUUUAAUAUUUCUAAUAAUACAAAUCAAAAAAAUUAUAUAUAUACAUAUAUUAAAUAAAAACAUAACUGCUCCAACAUGUAUGCCUGGAAGUUGCGGGUAAGUUCACGUUGCAUCGACUGGAAAUCGAGGGCGCGUUUGCCGUUGCAUCGACAACUGGAAGUCAAGCGUAUGCCCUUAAAUUAGCGUUACUGAAACUCAAUCAAAGAAAAAGAAAAUCCAACCUUUCCGGCUUUUUGUUUCUGCAUGUCGAAAGAAGCAGCCAUUUUAGCACUUAAACUCCUCCAUGAGAAAGCUAACAAUGAAUUCUACUAAAUUCUUUUUUGUCAGUACUGUAUUGUUCCUCUUCCUUGUGAUUCUUCCCUCUUCCAUUUCGGUUACCCUAGACGCCAUUACACCAAACCAACCCCUAAGAGAGGGCGACGUUCUUCUCUCCACCACUGAAUUCUUUGCACUAGGGUUUUUUAAGCCAGGCAAUUCUCAUAACCGUUACAUCGGAGUUUGGUACAACAAAAUUCCAAUCAAAACCAUUGUCUGGAUUGCAAACAGAGAAAACCCCAUAGUUCCUACUGCUGGAACUGGACUUCUAGCCAUUCAUGCAGAUCAUGGUGGCCUUGUUAUGUAUGGGGAGGACCAAAAUACCCCUUUCUGGUCCACUAAUCUCACCGUCUCUUCUCCAAACAAUUCCGUGAUAGCCAAGCUUUGGGAUACGGGAAAUCUUGUUGUAGUUGAAAUUAAUGGCGGUAGUAGUGAAAAGGUGUUGUGGCAAGGUUUUGAUUAUCCCACAAAUACGAUGCUUCCUUUUAUGAAACUUGGGCUGGACAGGCGAUCCGGGUUGAACUGGUUCCUCACAUCUUGGAAGUCCCAAGAUGACCCGGGAAUGGGCAACUGCUCGUACCGGAUAGAGACAAGUGAGAGUCCACAGGGGUUCUUAUACAUGGGUCAGACUCCAUUGUGGCGGACUGGACCUUGGAUCGGUGAAAGAUGGUCCGGGGUGCCUCAAAUUAAAAAAACUUUCUACUCCAACGUUACUUUUGUGAACACUCAAGAUGAGGUAUCCAUCAUGGAUGGUACUGUUUAUGAAUCAAUCUUCUUUAAAAUGGUGAUCAAUGAAUCAGGAAACAUUGAACGGUCCGCAUGGCAUGAUAAUAAAUGGGUCCCGUAUUGGUCGCCGGAUCGGCAGUGUGAUUUUUACGGGAAGUGUGGUCCGAAUAGCAUUUGUUACCCAAACCCAAACUUUGCGGAUAAAUUUGAGUGCAAAUGCCUACCUGGAUUCGAACCCAAGUUGCAACAUGAGUGGUAUUUGGGAGAUUGGUCAGGCGGGUGCGUGAGGCAAAAAGGAUCAUCCGUUUGCCAAAACGGGGAAGGGUUCUUGAAGUUGGAAAGUGUGAAGGUGCCGGACACUUCUACGGCACGUGUGAACAUGAGUAGGAGUGGGGAAGCAUGUAAAGAAGAAUGCCUGAGAAAUUGUUCUUGCACGGCAUACGCAAAUGCAGAUGAAAGGCAGGGAGGGAGUGGCUGUAUAACAUGGCAUGGCGACUUGAUUGACACGAGGACCUUUUUGUAUACGGGUCAAGAUUUGUAUGUGCGAGUUGAUGCAAAUGUUUCAGGUAUAUUUCCAUUAUCAAUUUAUCUUCUUUCUUCUCUUUUCCUUAUCAAUAAUUCCUCUUAUAACGCCGAGGUUCCAUGAAAAAAAAGAUCUUCUUUCUUUAUGUCAUUAACAAAUUUGAGGAAUUAUUAUUUAGUUUGGUAGUUGUACGUUUGUUAUCAUUCUAAAAAAAAUCAUUUGGCACUGGUCUCUUGCCAAAUAAUAAAAGUGAAAUUGUUUCGUCAAGAGUGUAAGAUGACUUUUUUAGAGUACUAAUUUUUUUUAUAAAAAAUUCAGAAAUAUCUAUAAAUUAAUACUAAAAAUUUAGUUCUUAUGUUCAUUGGAGCUUUUUACAGGGUUUUUUUUUUCCCGAAUUUUUACAAGGUUUUUUAAACAUGGAAAUAAAUGCGUGUAUAUCUGCAGCUCAAUACGCAAAGAAGUCAAACAGUUCUUUUGGCAAGAAGAGGAAGCUGGAAGUUUCAGUAGCAUGUGGUCUAUUGUUCUUCCUUUUGUUUUCCCUUGCAUGUUGGUUGGUAAAGAGGAAGAGAAAAGGUAAACAAAUUUCCUUUUACUAGGUUGCCCUCUAAUCAUUCACAAUUAUGUAACUGGAUAUUGGUUUUAAUUAUUUAAGAACACAAUAUUAUUUAUUUAUGUACUUUUAUCACAGGUAAGAGAAGUCAGGAUAAACUUUUCAAUGUGACCAUAGCAUCAACCUCCUGGGAAGAUUCUUCUGCUAGAACAAAUAUUGAUGAAAGUGGAAUAAACUCUGAAUUACCAUUCUUUGAACUAAGUACCAUAGUUAAAGCCACACAUAAUUUCGCUUCCAACAACAAGCUUGGAACAGGUGGUUUCGGCUCCGUUUAUAAGGUGCGUAGUUGCCCUGAGAUAAUGUCUCAAAUCAUAAAUCAGACUUUGAAUAGACAUUUUUUAGAUUUAUUUUUUAGCCAUCUGCACUCCAAAUCAAUUAUUUUAUUAUUUUUUCCUCUACUCACCCUUGUAGUUAGGCCUGGCAAACGGGUCGUGUCUGUCGUGUUCUUGUCGUUUUCGUGUAGCACCUGUUAUCUUAACGGGUCGUGUUGUGUCAUACAUGUUAUCUUAACAGGUCCUUAACAAGUCGGGUCGGGUAAAGUGACCCGACCCGUUAAGAAAAAUAUAUUUUUUUUCUUAAAUUUGCACAUACCACACUUUGCCACAUAAAUAUUACUUCAAAACAUUAAAACACAUAAUUUAAUAUAUAUAUAUAUAAUUAUUUUAGUUUUUAGGGGUAUAAAAUUGUUAAAUUAAUAUAUAUAUAUAUAUAUAUAUACAUAUAAUUAUUAUAGUUUAUUCAUACUUUCAUUAAGUAUAACAUAAGAUUUUGUGGUAUCCACUAAUGUAAUUUUUUAAAUUGAAGAUCGAAUUCAUUCAUUGUAUUCAUAUAGAGUCAAGGAGUGUAACUGUAAAAAAUCAUCAAAAUCGGAGUUAAAAUAACCGUUAAAUAGUGAUUUUUCGUUUUAUAAUCGUCGAAAAGUUUUGUCUCGUUACUUGAUCUCUGAAUGUUUGUUCUUUGCAAUUUUUGGCGUAUGCGAUCUCGAAGUAUAUACAAACAUGUAUGACAGUUGGAUUGUUGAAACUAGUUUCGUAUAAUGCGUAUCCUAUCAAAACAAUAGAUUCACUAACACUUAGUUUAUUCUUACUUUCAUUAAGUAUAACAUAAGAUUUUGUGGUAUCCACUAGUAUAAAUAUUUUAAAUUGAAGAUUGAAUUCAUUCAUUAUAUUCAUAUAGGGUCAAGGAGUGUAGCUGUAAAAAAUCAUCAAAAUCGGAGUUAAAAUAACCGUUAAAUCGUGAUUUUUCUUUUUAUAACCGUUGAAAGGUUUUGUCCCAUUACUUGAUCUCUAUAUGUUUGUUUUUUGUAAUUUUUGGUGUAUACGAUCUCGAAGUAUAUACAAAUAUGUUUGACGGUUGGAUCGUUGAAACUAGUUUCGUAGAAUGCAUAUCCCAUCAAAACAAUAGAUUCACUAACACUUAAGAGUUUAUUCAUACUUUCAUUAAGUAUAACAUAAGAUUUUGUGGUAUCCACUAGUGUAAAUAUUUUAAAUUGAAGAUCAAAUUCAUUCAUUGUAUUCAUAUAGGGUCAAGGAGUGUAGCUGUAAAAAAUCAUCAAAAAUGUGAUUUUUCUUUUUAUAACCGUUGAAAGGUUUUGUCCCGUUACUUGAUCUUUAUAUGUUUGUUUUUUGCAAUUUUUGGCAUAUGCGAUCUCGAAGUAUAUACAAACAAGUUUGACGGUUGGAUCGUUGAAACUAGUUUUGUAGAAUGUGUAUCCCAUCAAAACAAUAGAUUCACUAACACUUAAGAGUUUAUUCAUACUUUCAUUAAAUAUAACAUAAGAUUUUGUGGUAUCCACUAGUGUAAAUAUUUUAAAUUGAAGAUCGAAUUCAUUCAUUGUAUUCAUAUAGGGUCAAGGAGUGUAGCUGUAAAAAAAUCAUCAAAAUCGGAGUUAAAAUAACCGUUAAAUAAUGAUUUUUCGUUUUAUAACUGUUGAAAAGUUUUGUUCUGUUACUUAAUCUCUGAAUGUUUGUUUUUUGCAAUUUUUGGCGUAUGCGAUCUUGAAGUAUAUACAAACAUGUUUGACGGUUUGAUCGUUGAAACUAGUUUCGUAGGAUGCGUAUCCCUUCAAAACAAUAGAUUCACUAACACUUAAGAGUUUAUUCAUACUUUCAUUAAGUAUAACAUAAGAUUUUGUGGUAUCCACUAUUGUAAAUAUUUUAAAUUGAAGAUCGAAUUCAUUCAUUAUAUUCAUAUAGGGUCAAGGAGUGUAGCUGUAAAAAAUCAUCAAAAUCGGAAUUAAAAUAACCGUUAAAUUGUGAUUUUUAGUUUUAUAACUAUCGAAAAGUUUUGUUCAGUUACUUGAUAUCUGAAUGUUUGUUUUUUGCGAUUUUUUAAUGGUGCGAUCUAGAAGCAUAUACAAAUAAGUUUGACGGUUGGAUCGUUGAAAUUAGUUUUGUAUAAUUCAUAUCCCAUCAAGUUCAAUGGUAUAUAUAUAUAUAUAUAUAUAUAUAUAUAUAUAUAUAUUAAGUAGAUUUAAUUCUAUUUAUUUUGUACGUAUAAUUAUUAUAGUUUUUUGGGGUAUAAAAUUUAAUUUAAAAUUAUAUAUAUAUAUAAUUAUUAUAGUUAAUAUUUUGGGGGUAUAAUUAUUAUAGGCUUUUUAUAUUAGCACCCCACAAAAUGUUGAAUGCACCCCAUAUUAAAAUUUAAUAUUAAAUGACUUAUUUACUCCACUAUGCAAUGACAAUUUUGACCUUAUUAGGUUUUAAAAAAAAUAAAAAUUUAUAAAUACACCUCAAAUCACUUUUAGCAUAUUAUUUAUUUUCUCAACUAUCAAAACCCUUUCAUCUUCCAUUGUUGAAUAAAACUCUAACCAAUGAAACUACAAACAUGUUGAUUGAGAAAAAUUGUUUUUGACGAAUGGAAUACAAAAUCGAUGUUUCUGAAGCUUUACAUGAGAUAAGACUUCACAUUUUUCAUUGUUUUAGUGAUUUCGAUGACAUCAAUAAUUAUUUAAUCUUGCGUUUGCCGCAUUAUUUAAACUUCUAUAUAUUCAUAUUCAUCUUUUAGGGUUCAUAUUAAUCUUGCGAACCUAGUAACAUGAGUCGUAUUAGUGCUAGAGUCAUAUACUACUUUUACAAAUUGACGAUAGCCAUUCUCCACAUGAACUCCUACUCUCAAUCUUUAGCUGUUUGAUUGACGUACAUUUCUCAUUGUGAGUUUUUCUUUCUUUUUUCUUCUUCUUUUCUUGUCACUGGGAGAUGAUCAGUGGAAAAUGAGGAGAGACAUGGCCUAUAUUUAAAGAAAUCUGAGACCGAUUCAGUUUUGAUUUAUUAAUUAACUUCUACACCUGGAUCAUUAGCAGAGAGAGGGUCUUUAUUUAUUUUGUUCAAGACUAAGUCUAAAGACUUGUGAAAUAUAUAUAGAAGCAUUCUUUGUUAGCAGUAACGAGAGAGUCUUUUUUUUUUCUUUUUUUUUACUCGAAAAGACUCAGCACCACGGGUCAUUUUUAAGGCUUUUUAGAAGUUGAAUAAGAUGAUUUCAAACUAUACUAAGAUGAUUUCAAAUCAUCAUUUUGAAAUCAUUCGGUAAACUAAACGUUCAGAUGAUUUGAAAUAUUUUGACAAAUUAAACGUUCAAAUGGUUAGAUUCAAUCCCUGAAAAUUAAAAAUGAGUGUUAUAAGAUUUGAGAAAUGUGGGGUGUAAAGAAAAUGUGGGGUGUAUGUACAAAAUAUAAGAUGUAUAUUGAGAAUGUGGGGUGUGGGGGUAUUAUGGGAAAGUAUGUGGGGUGUAUUUAGAUAAUUUUUAAGUGAAAAAGCAAAUAUGGGGUGUAUUAAGUAUGUGGGGUUUAUUCAACAAUUUGUGGGGUGUUAAUAUAAUUAGCCUUAUUAUAGUGUAUAUAAUUAUUAUAAUUAUUAUAGUUAAUUUAAUAUAUAUAUAUAAUUAUAGUAUUUUUUAGGGUUAUAAAAUUAUUAAAUUAAUAUUCUGCUUAUCGUGUAUCGUGUUACCCACGUAUAUACCCGAACCAACCAGUUAUCUUAACAGGUGAUUAUCGGGUUACCCGAUAACGACCCGAUUCGUUAUCGUGUCGACCCGAACACCUGUUAAUUUCGUGUUGUGUUGUGUCGAGUUAUUGGGUCGUGUCAGGAAUUGCCAGGCCUACUUGUAGUUUAAACAAAAGAACAUAAUGAAUAAAUCUUGCAGAGAAAGAAAUAGAAUCAAGAAGAGAGAGGGAGCAAGAUUUAUAGAGAGAGAGAGAGAAAGAGAAUCAAGAAGAGAGAGGGAGCAAGAUUUAUAGAGAGAGAGAGAGAGAGAGAGAGAGAGAGAUUUUAGACAGAAAAAGUGAAUCUUUGUUAAUGGUUUCAGAAAAAAUACAAGGUAGUGAUCCAUAAGGAUAUAUAUCCAAACUAUAUUGCUUACAAGCUAAGCUAACAUUUAGCUCACAGGUUAUUGACACUUGCAAACAAUAUUACAGUUAACAAAAAUCAAGAGACCCGUCCAAUAAAGACUGGAAAGGCUGACUCAAAAAUAUAUUUCAUUAAAAUUCAUACCCAAUCAAUAAUCGAUAAGUGAUGGGAACUAUCUUGUUUCGACUUUUCACAAUUAUCCCACACGGUGAUGCGGGUUUUGAAAUUGUAUAAAACACAUAGAAAGUUUUAAAUCUAUAUAUGAUAAGCCAUACUACUUAUAUACAUGUGGAAAUCUAUUCACAAACCUAUUCCUAAGCCAUACUAAUUAUAUAUAAGUGAUGGUUGCAUGGUAUUGAUCUUCUACACAAAAAAAGCAAACGUUUUCCACCCUAGGAAAUUGUUAAGCACCUAUCAAACUAAUUAAUUGGAAACAGUAUGGUGCUUCCCAAUCUAAAGAGUCAAUGACACUAAAGCAGCAGAUUAGUGAAUAGAUUAGCGAAUAGUUAAUUAUGAUUUGUUUUGGGUCCAAAGAAACCUUGUUAGGUGAUGGUGAAUCAAUAUGAAAGUAAACAAUGCCGAUUUCAAAAUGGAUACUAAAGAGCUAUUCAUCCGCAUAAGUAAAUACAUACCAACAGAAAAGUGGGCUAAUCCAACCAAUCUCACCAAUGGACAUUGUCACCCGAGCAAUUCGGACUAAAUCUUUGAUGAAACAAAAAAAUGCUGAGGAAAAUGAUCAUUACCCAAAAUUCCAUUCUGAACAAAUAUAUGGACCAAUCUGAAGUAAGACGAAGAAUUAUGACAUGAAAAACUUAAUAAAACCCAAUUUGAACGAAGAACUCAAUCUGAAGCAGAUUUUCACAUGCAAUAGUUCUAGAAGAUGCCUAAGAUGACAAGGAGUCAUUUGAGACCAUCAACUCAACCCCAUUCGAACGCAAUCCCAAAAUCAAAAAGGACAAAAUGGGCAAACAAAAUCAAAGCAUUUUUAUGUACAUGCAUUGAGUUUUACUCCUUUGUUAAUGUAUAAAUGCAAUUUCAAGGGGAGGAUAUAUAUAUAGAGCUACGAUUAUGUUGAUAAUUUUCUUGAAAGGUAAGUGCACUAUAAGUUGAAUUUGGAUUAUAAAUUCAGGGUGUGCUUGAUAAUGGAAAGGAGAUAGCAGUGAAAAGACUAGCCAAGAAUUCUGGCCAAGGAAUUGGAGAGUUUAAGAAUGAAGUUGUGUUGCUUUCAAAGCUCCAACACAGGAACCUUGUGAGGAUCAUGGGUUGCUGCGUUCAAGAUGAAGAGAAGAUGCUGAUCUAUGAAUACUUGGCAAACAAAAGUCUUGACUUUUUCAUUUUCGGUAUGUCUUUCUUUUACUUUUGUUCUUCUUUUUAUACAAGCAAUAUUGUGGAGGGGAAAUCGAGCUCAGGACCUCGGGUGCAGGAUUGAAUGCUCUAAACUCAACUCGGUUACAAGCACCUUUCUUUUCACUUGUGUAUCUAAAAUUGUCGGUUAAAAACCUUGAACCAAGCAAGAAUACAAUCUAAUUUACUUUGCUUACUUUUUUCCCAUACGAAGCAAAAGAGGCGUUCUUGGAUUGGACAAGACGCCUUGAGAUAAUAUGUGGGAUUGCUAGAGGGAUUUUAUAUCUUCAUCAGGAUUCAAGAUUAAGAAUCAUCCAUAGAGAUCUAAAGGCCAGCAAUGUUUUGUUGGAUUCUGCUAUGAACCCCAAGAUUUCAGAUUUUGGUAUGGCUAGGAUAUUUGGAGCUGAACAAAUUGAAGCAAAUACAAACCGUGUGGUUGGGACAUAGUAAGUUUCAUUCAAGACUAAAAGUACACCUGUUUUUUACAAUUUUCAUCCCUAUUUCACAAGGCCACAAACGUGAGUACAACUUUUGUUGAAUACUACAGAAAGAAGCUGUGAUACUUAAUCAAUUUUAUUUUGUUGCUUCAGCGGUUAUAUGUCACCAGAGUACGCAAUGGAAGGAUUUUUUUCAGUAAAGUCUGACGUAUAUAGCUUUGGCGUUUUACUACUAGAAAUUGUUACUGGCAGAAAGAACACUAGCUACUACCACGAUAGUUCUUACUCAAAUUUAGUUGGACAUGUAAGCAUAACAUUAAGACGUACCAAACUUCUCUCCGUCUGCUUUUAUAACUUGAUGAUUAAUUUGUAAAUGGUUUUUAGGUUUGGGACUUAUGGAAGGAAAGUAGAGCCUUGGAAAUCAUUGAUUCAUCGCUGGGAGAAUCAUACCAUGUCAAUGAAGUUCUAAGGUGUAUUCACAUUGCCCUCUUGUGCGUGCAAGAGCAAGCGAAGGAUCGUCCACUCAUGUCAGCAGUGGUUUCCAUGUUGGGUAAUGAUGCAGCAAUUCCUUCACCAAAGCAACCUGGAUUUUUGUUGAAGAGUGGGGACCCAUCAGCCAAUACAAAAGGAGCUUCCUCUAUAAAUGACAUGACCCAUACAGAAGUAGAAGGUCGCUAAGGGGAGAACUAGACGAAUACUCGGAAAUACCAUCAUUGAAUUUAGAGUACGAUCACGUGAUAAGUGAGAUAAGAAUAGAUGAUAUACUCCGAUUUCACUCAAUAAUUUGCCUUUUAAUUAGGGAUCUAAGUUCUAUAUCUACAACACUCAUCAUCUCUCUUGUUGUAAAUACAUGCUAUAAAUUGUGUGCCUUAUAACUAGGGAUCUAAGUUCUAUAUUUGCAAUACUCAUCAUCUGUCUUGUUGUAAAUACAAAAUAUAAAUUAAUUGCAACACUCGUCAUCAGUUCGACGAGGCUACAUAAAAGUACUUUCUAACCGCCAUAGACAUUUAGGAGGGCUGAGAACUUUGUGGCUCAAGGUUUUAGAAGCAGGCAUACUCAGACACUAAUCAAGCCACGUGUCAACUAACAGUCAAGACUCAAAAACAAAAGUCUAGAGCGGGACAUGAAGCUGGUCUGGCCUGCUCGAAGUGACAUGACUAAUUAAUCAAGGCCUAGCGGGACGCUCGGCACACAUUGGACAUUUGGAUGUUAUGAUAAUUUAGUGUUAGAAAUGAUAAUUUAGAGCUUGAAUAUUGUUCACUAUCACAUGUGCUAGUAUAUGCUUCAAAAAAUUUUAGAGGCAAAAUAUUGUUAAAAAUUAUGAUGCUCUUAUUUGUACGGUGAUUUAUACAAAACACUGUAUUAAUGGUGAUAUUUACAUAAAACUAUAUCAUAGUGAUUAGCGAAUAGUGAUUUCUACAUAAAAUUAUAUUAAAAAUAUUUGAGAUGGUAGUCAAAUCUUAUGCAUAAACUCUGUUGUGAUAGUGCAAAAGUUUUUACAGAUUAGAAAUAGUCCAAAAUUGUUUGAGUGCGGUAUCGGGCUCGAAUUUUUUAACCUCACUCUUGCUCAUCUCCCAUAAGAAUCAAGUCAAGCUUACCCGCAAGCUCGAAAAAAUUAAAUAAGCCAAAUUUAAACAUAAUAGUAUUCAGUUCGGCUUGACUAGUUUGCAGUCCUACAUUUAUUUAAAACACCCCUCUGAAUUAUUACCCAAAGACGGGACCUUUUUGUAUCUUUAAGUUGAAAAGCUGAGUGAAUUAUGACUUUCUCCAAUAAAUCCAGAGAUGAUAAUUGGAUAGAUAAUUCCACUGACCAAUCAAUUAACUGUUGGAAAAUAUUAGUAUUUUGGUUUAUUUGAAUGUUUGGUUUUAUGGGUUUAGCCCGUUAGAAUUAGGUUUGUUAGAGAUUAGGGUUAAUUUAUUAUAAAUAGGGUGCUUUGUUAUUCAUUAGAGAACAAGUUAGCCACAAUGUAGUCUCUUAGGGUUUUGUAGCCGUUUCGGCAUUCUCGUUUGUUUAAUAAUAUUCUUAUUAUUUGUUAGUCUUGUUCGUUGCGCACUCUGAUAUUCAACUUGGUAUCAGAGCGGGUUCGAUCCUUAGGGUUCAACCCGUUCUCAUUGGUAUCAAUUUGUUUGCCUUUGUCGUCGUUCGUUUUAGAUUUGUUAGUUGGUAUUGAUUGUUUGCAAGGAAAAGAAAAAUGAAAGGAAAAAAAAAAGUUUUGCUUGCAGAGGAGAAGAUUCCCCAGCAAAUAAAAAAAUGGAACUUUAACGAAAAGCACCCGGUACUGUUCACUUUAACGAAAAACCACAUUUUUACACUAAAAAGUCAAUCCUGGUACUAUUCACUUUACCCUUUAUUUUGUCCUUAUCAUUAAAACUCAAAGUUUUCAAGCCCUUUUCAUUAGUUUUCCUAUAAAAAAAAGGGGACGAAGGAGAAAAGAAGAAAAAGAAGGAAAAAAAAGAGGAACCACGGAAAGGAAGAAGAAGGAAGAAAAAAAUGGGAAAAAAAAAGGAAGGAAAAAAAUAUGGUUGUUUUGUGGUCCGUGUAUUCUUGCAUUGGGCAUGGUAACUUGAACUUGGAAUGGAAAUUUGGCAUCGACAUUGGUAUCGGCAUCGGCAUUGGUAUUGGCAUCAGCAUCGGAAUCGGCAUUGGAAUCGGCAUUGGAAUCGGCAUCGGCAUCAGCAUUGGUAUUGGCAUCGGCAUCAGCAUUGGAAUUUGAAGGCUUGCAUCCACAUCUGCUUGUUGGCAAACUCAUGUCGUCUACCGCCAUGAGUUUGAUAGGGGGUGUUGGAAAAUAUUAGUAUUUUGGUUUAUUUGAAUGUUUGGUUUUAUGGGCUUAGCCCGUUAGAAUUAGGUUUUGUUAGAGAUUAGGGUUAGUUUAUUAUAAAUAGGGUGCUUUGUUAUUCAUUAGAGAACAAGUUAGCCACAAUGUAGUCCCUUAGGGUUUUGUAACCGUUUCGACAUUCUCGUUUGUUUAAUAAUAUUCUUAUUAUUUGUUAGUCUUGUUCGUUGCGCACUCUGAUAUUUAACUUUAACUUGGAUAGAGUUUGCACAAAAACACAAGAAGAUUAAAACCCUUAAUGCAAAUAUGUCACAAAAUACUAUAUACGUGACAAAUCCGAAUCGGUGUUUAGGGGCAUCUCUAAUGAGAAAAUACAAAAUUUGAGAGGAAAAAUCAUAUUUACGUUUCUGAUCGAUGUAAAUGAAGCUAUACUCCAAUGAGAAUGAUGAAAAUUUGAGAUCCCAUUUAAUUUUGUCUCCUUGAUUAGUGGGACUCACCACCAAAAGAUGUAAAAAAGAAUAUAAAUUUAAGUUUUUAUUUACAUCCUUCAACGAAGAUGAAUAAUUUAUAUUUCGCCAUUGGAUAAUUUUUCAGCAAAGAAAAAAAUAUAAAAUGUCCAUUUCAAAGUACUUUGAGAGAUGCCCUUGAGAAGAAAAGCUUACUUACCGUUAUAAUUGUUUAGUAAUCUGAAAUAAUUAUUUACCGCUAUGCAUUUUAGAAUCUAUUGUGUAAAUAAUUAUUCAAUGUUAUGUGCUAAAAUCCAGUUAUGUAAAGAUAUGUGAUUAACUCGAGAUAGAGUAGUUAUAACAUUCCAAAUUUCGAAUAAUCUGGUAGUUCUCGAAACAAAGAAAGAAUGAAGAAAAAAAACCUCUGAAAACAAAAUGUGAAAAGGUGUAAUAGUAAUUUCAUCACUGUAUUACAAUUGUUAUUUUUCUUUUUUGGGCGUAUUAAUGUGUUGUGAGUGUAUGAUUUGGUGGUGAAAGUCUCUGUCUGUCUCUGUCUGUCUCUGUCUGUCUCUCUCUCUCUCUCUCUCUCUCUCUUCGCUCGAAGUCUCAAAAACACACUCCACCAGUAGCACCCGAAAACCUCGUAAACCUUUUUCUUCCAUUUCAUUUCUUUACCGAGUGACACGAGCGAGCGAGUUGAGAAAUGGCGACUCGGUUCCCGGACGAUUUCAAGUGCCCAACUUCCCUCGAAAUAAUGUCGGACCCGGUUAUACUCUCCUCGGGUCACACCUUUGAUCGGGCCUCCAUCCAACGCUGGCUCGACGCCGGUCACACCCGGUUACAAAAGGGUUGAUUGCUAUUGCACUUGUUCAGUUCGUUCUUCUGAUCCGGUGCUGCGCUUCAAUCGAUAGUAUAACAACUGAUCAAGCGAUCAGGGAUGGCGAAGUUCUAUUCUCUAGUGGAGAAGUGUUUGAGCUUGGUUGAUCUUCAGCCCCAGAAAAUCUACGAACACUAUGUUGGAAUCUGGUAUAAGAAAGAUGUAGAAAAAAGAGUUGUAUGGGUUGAAAACAGAGACAAUCCUGUCAAUGACACUUCAGGAAUCCUCUCAACUGGUGCAAAUGGUAACCUCUUCCUCUAUGCCGAAAACCAAAGCGAUAUUCCCCUCUGGUCUGCCAUAUCCAAUGUUUCAAUCGCAUCAUUACCAUCCAAUUCCACACAUGAGCCUAAUUACAAAGCUCAGCUCUUAGAUACUGGAAAUAUUGUGGAGGGGAAAUCGAGCUCAAGACCUCAGGUGCAGGAUUGAAUGCUCUUAACUCAACUCAGUUACAAGCGCCAUUCUUUUCACUUAUGUAUCUAAAAUUGUCGGUUAAAAGCCUUGAACCAAGCAAGAAUACAAUCUAAUUUACUUUGCUUACUUUGCUAGUGGGAUCUUAUAUCUUCAUCAGGAUUCGAGAUUAAGAAUCGUCCAUAGAGAUCUAAAGGCCAUCAAUGUUCUGUUGGAUUCUGUCAUGAACCCUAAGAUUUUAGAUUUUGGUAUGGCUAGGAUAUUUGGAGCUGAACAAAUUGAAGCAAAUACAAACCUUGAGGUUGGGACAUAGUAAGUUUCCUUCAAAACUGAAAGUACACUUAUUUUUUACAAUUUUCAUCCCUAUGUCACAAGGCCACAAACGUGAGUACAACUUUUGUUGAAUAAUACAGAGAGAUGCUGUGAUAAUUAAUCACUUUUACUUUGUUGCUUCAGUGGUUAUAUGUCACCUGAGUACGCAAUAGAAAGACUUUUUUCAGUAAAGUCCGAUGUAUAUAGCUUCAGCAUUUUACUACUAGAAAUUGUUACCGACAGAAAGAACACCGGUUACUACCAAGAUAGUCUUUACUUAAAUUUAGAGCAUAACAUUAAGACAUUACCAACGUUCUCUCCGUCUGCUUUUAUAACUUGAUGAUUAAUUUGUAAAUGGUUUUUAGGUUUGGGACUUGUGAAAGGAAAGUAGAGCCUUGGAAAUCAUUGAUUCAUCUCUGGGAGAACCAUACCCUGUCAAUGAAGUUCUAAGGUGUGUUCACAUUGCCCUUUUGUGCGUGCAAGAGCAUGCAAAGGAUCAUCCACUCAUGUUAGUAGUGGUUUCCAUGUUGGCUAAUGAUGCAGCAAUUCCUUCACCAAAGCAACCUGGAUUUUUGUUGAAGAGAAGUUAUCAUACUAGUGGAGACCCAUCAGACAAUACUGAAGGAGCUUACUCUAUAAAUGACAUGACCCAUACAGAAGUAGAAGGUCGCUAAGGAGAGAACCAGACAUAUACUCGAAAAGAUUAUAUCAAUCAAUUAAGAGUAUGGUCUCUUAUGAGUGAGAUUAGAAGAAAGGAUAUGCCCUGAUUUCACUCAAUAAUUUGCCUUAUAACUAUUGAUCUAAGUUCUAUAUCUACAACACUCGUCAUCUGUCUUGAAAUGCCGCUCCUUUCAUUUUGCAUAUCAUUGAACUUUUGGUAUUUUGUAAUAAUGUACUAAUGUUUUUUCAUUAGACUCUUAUUUUGGGGUAUGUAAUACUUAAAAGACAAAUGUUGUUUUUAUAUUUUGAAGUAAUAUUUAUGUGACUAUAUGGUAUACAUAUACUAAUUUAGUAUUAUGUUUUCAAUUUUUUGGGGGUCAAAUUAUGUUUUUCAUUUUCAUUAUUUAUUGAUUUAAAAUAUAUUUUUUUAACUGGUGUUGGGGGACUUUUAGGUCGAGGCGGACUUGGGCUUUGAGAACGUCACCCUUGGUGCAAGUUCGUGACAAGUCUGGGAUAUCUCGAAGGAGGUAGCUUGUCCUAGGAAACACCCUGGUAACAUCAACGGCUCAAAGAUAGCACAAAAGAUCAAGAUAAUGACUUGCUCAAGCAAAGCAUGGUGUGGAAGCUAGAAGAUUAUCGGUUUACAUGAGAGAAAGAAGGUUUGCAUGGUUGCAUGGCAUUCUUAGUUGCAUGUUUCGGGCUUUCCUAGGGUGAUAGCAAGGCUUCUAGUGGCUGAGAUGUUUGAUGGAGGGCUGUGGAAAUCACUACAAUUGCAUGAAUGGUGAUACUUGAAGCUUAGAGUAUGCAUCUGGACUAGAUGGAACUCUUUGGGCUUCUUCCUGGGUGGAAACAUCUUACUAUGUUUUGUCUAUCUCUCUCUAUGUAUUUCUCUCUGCGUUCUAACCUCCUCAUUUCUAAUAGCUUCUCCCCCUCUUUAGAUAGGUGAAGAGCUUCUCUUUAGAUUUCAAGAAAUAUCUCUUUGUGGCUUGGUCUUCCCCUCAUUUCUCCCUAGCUAUCCCAGUAUUUCCCUUUUGGUGUAAACUAGAUGCACUGUUUGAGUUAUGCAGAUUGCUGUUUCUUGAGAUGCAGCUUUCCUAGGGCGGCCUUCCGCAAGCGCUAAAUCUAGUAGCGCGCUUCUGGGCUUUUGUGCAUUCGCUGUCUGUGCAGGCUGGGAAUGGAAAGUCAGCAUUAAAUGCCUGACUUGCUAAGCUUGACAUGCAUUUAAUGUAAGAAUCUAGUUUAAUUCUAAUUAAGGGGAUUGGCUUACUAGGGAAAUGGAUAAACUAGGCUAGCUCUCAUUCCCAAUGAUGCCUGCGUGAAAUACAAAGGGUAUAGGCUUGGAUCUUUAGGCUCCUAAGCAGCCCAAAGUCUUCCAUGACCCUAAUUCCACAUAGGCCCGAUAACCUUAUGUAAUCAUCCACACCACAAUCCACUUAGCAAGUCUCGAAUAUGUGACUUGGGCUUAGCGUGAAUAUUGACUAAGGAGGCAUGGCGUGAUGAAUAAUACGUGAGCAUGGUGUGAGUAUUCCGCUUAAUUCUUGUGGCAUGGCAUGCUUGUAAAUAUAUUCCUUGUUGGUCCCGUGCCUUGGCAUGUGCUUGGGCUUGAAUGUAGGCUUUGCAUGAUAAUUGGGCUUUGAGACUUGGUAGGAUCGAUGCGUGACAUUUUUAGGCCCCAACAACGAGUAAAUUGUAACAGGUCAGGUCAUAUUACCUAAUAAUAUUAACGGGUUGAUUUCGAAUCAGGUCAUAUUACCCGUUUACUUUAACGGAUAUUGCCUGACACGACCCGUUAAGAUAUUGGGUAUGUCACGAAAACGACAUGAACACGAAAAACACAACAUGAAUACCAGGUCUAAUGCUCGACACACAUUAGACCUUUGGAUGUUAUGAUAAUUUAGUGUCAGAAAUAAUAAUUUAGAGGUAGAAUAUUGUUGACUAUCACAUGUGCUAGUAUAUGCUUCAAAUAAUUUUAGAGGUACAAUAUUGUUAAAAAUUAUAAUGCUCUUAUUUGAACGGUGAUUUAUACAAGGGGAAACUUGAUAUAAGCAAUUUUUUUUAGCCGAUAGUAGGAAUAGUCCAAUUUAUUUAAAUAAGUCCAAUUCUUUAAAUUUAAUUAUUUAAUUAUCAAUAAUUAUCUAUUAAAUGAUAAGAUUUAUUAUUACUUUAGUCUAAAGAAAGGUUUGGAAUUGACACUGUAGAAAUGAAUAGUGUUUCAAUUCGAAUUUCAGAUUAAUUACUACCAUGCCAUUGAUCUUUCUGUUGGUUUUGGGUCAGCAGCCCAGCCUUCAGCCAGGCCCAAAUGUGUUGGUUUUAGCUGGGAAGCAAGGCCCUCAAUGAGGCCUAAAUUAUUUAACUACAUUUUUGCCCAUCUAGUGUAACAUCCCACAUCGCCCAGGGGAGUAAAUCAUGUAAGCCUUAUAUGUAUAUUCUCAUCUCUACCUAGCACGAGGCUUUUUGGGAACUCAAUGGCUUUGGGUUCCGUAGGAACUCCGAAGUUAAGCGAGUAGCUCGUGAGAGCAAUCCCAUGAUGGGUGACCCACUGGGAAGUUCUCGUGUGAGUUCCCAGAAAUAAAAUCGUGAAGGCAUGGUCGGAGCCCAAAACGGACAAUAUCGUGCUACAGUGGAGUUGAGCCGGGGAUGUGGUGAGGGCCCGGGUCGGGAUGUGACAUCUAGGAUUACAAUCUGAUAGUAGGGAUGGUUUAUUACGAAGGGCAAUUUUGUCCUCUCUGUUUUGGGCGAGAUAGGGGGUCACUGGUUAGGUAUCAUUUGCUGUCGUUCAAUUAGGGUUUCGGGAAGGGUCUGCGAGAGAGAGAUAGAUAGAGAGAGAGAUGGCGAUGGAAGAAGAGAGAGGGGGAGGGGUAGGGGUCUCGACACUGUUGCUGCAGAUGAGAGGGUCGGUAUGGUCAAAGAAAACCAUAUGGGUCGUCAGGAUUUCAGGGAGAUAGGGAAGGGGUCAUCAACAAACCCUACCGAGGGUAAGGUGUGCCGGAUCUUGCGUUGCAUGCCUCAAAUCCAAAGGUUAGUUCCUUUUUAAAAUUGUUUUCUUUAAUGGUGCCUUAGAUUUUCUAAUUGUUUAGUAUGUUAGGUCCAGUUUUAGGGGAUUUGUGAUUUUAUAGAGAGAGAUGGAUAGGGAGAUAGAGAUUGACAGAGGGAAGAAAAAGCAUGGUUGUGUGCAUUUUUUUGGGUUAAUUAAUGGGUUAGCGCACAGGGUCAGUGAGGAGAGUGACAAAGGGGUGUAUAGGAGGGUAUGGGUUUUCACUUUUUUGCUCUGAUUCAACAGGUUAUGCACUGUUUGAAAAUCAUUGUUUAUUGUUUUGUUUUCCGUUUGCUUUGUUAAAACCAUAUUUCAAUUUUUUUGGUUUCAUUGUGCUCAUUUAUGUGCUUCUUAAUAACUUCCUGGUGUUUGCUUCUCAUCCCUUUGUUGGUAGAUUUUUCCCCAUUUCUUGGUUCCUUAUGUAUUCCUUGGUACAAAUCUGUCUAAUUUUUGGCUAUGUGAUGAUCCUUGCAGGUGAGCUACAUUAAUGUUGUUUUGAAACACAGAGCUUCAUCCCCUCGAAUAUGCAAUUCAUAGUAGCAGCCUCACCCUUUCACUAUUAUCUGCUUAAAGCAAAACAUUUUUAUUAUGGCCUUGGUUUCUUGACAUUUUUAGGUAUAUAAUUUGCUAUACUUUUGUUUUGGUUACUUCAGUUAGAUGUAAUGUCACCUAACAUAGUAUAAUAGACAAAAUCACCAUCUCUGUUCUCUUCAAGAUAAUUUAUUUCGUAAUCCAACUUUGUUUGCAAGCUUUGUUUGCAAUAGUAUGUAUAAGCCAGAUCUCUUAUUUCCCUGCAAAUGAAUAGAAUUAAUGCAAUCCUCGGUCAAAUCAUUUAUCACAUUCAGACAAGUUCCCAAUUAUUUUUGCAUAUGAAGAAGACCAUCUUCACCAACACCGGAUUUAUCUGCAAACUUAAUUUUGAUCACCCCGAACUUAUUAAUCAAGAAGCCACUGUUUUAAUAAAAUUUGGCAUAAUCUUUAACAUGAAUAUAGAAGGAAAGAAUGGAUGUAUAUGUGUAGAAAUUAUGUUGGAAGGUUGGUUAAACUUAGGCUUAUUCUCAAGUAUAGUAUAAAUUCUUGGGUUAUUUGGAUUUCAGUAUUUAUCAAACUUUGCCUUGCUUAUGUAUUGAUCUCAUAACUGUCGCUUUCAUACAACAACCCAAAUAUGGAAUCUGCCAUCUGGAUUCUAUAUGGAAGUUGUGAAGCUUUUUUCCCUCAAAAUUUUGGUCUUUUUGUUUUUGUAUGUUGGUUUAAAACAAGGGUUAUUCUACAAAAUGGUCCCUGAGAUUUGCAUGAUCAAUAGAAAUGGUCCUUGAGAUUGAAAAUCAAUAUAAAUAAUCCCUGAGAUUGUCCACCAUCCAUGAUUUUGGUCAUUCCGUUAAAAACUCUUUGGGCAAUUUUCAAAGCUUCGUAACUUAAUUGAUUCUUAACCAAAUUUGACCCAUAAUAUAUAAAAAUGAAUAUAAGAAAGUGUAGAACAAGAUUAUACCUAUUUGGAAGCCCAAUGAUUUCCAGAGAUGGCUUGAAAAUAGCCUGAAAGGUGACUGGUCCGUGGGAAAACUGGAAAACUCGCCAGAAACUAAGUAAACUUUAAGCGUUCAUAACUUCUUCAAUACUCAACGAAAUCAAGUGAUUCAAAAAUGAAAAUCAUACUUCUCAAAGAUACGAAGAGAAUGGUAUCUUUCUUUACUACUAACUUGCCAUGAUUUAGCCGGAAAACUGCUCGAAAGUGGCUAACUCAAAAAUGGUUAGCCACAUUUGAGCCGUUGUUCAACCAAAACACAGCGAUUUAGCCUUCAAAAAAAGUACCAUUCUCUUCGUCUCAUCAAGAAGUAUUAUUUUCAUUUUUGAAUCACUCGAUUUGGUUGAGUAUUGAAUAAGUUAUGAAUUUUUAAAGUUUACCCAGUUUCCGGCGAGUUUUCCAGUUUUCCCAUGGACCAGUCACCUUUUAGGCUAUUUUUCGGCCAUCUCCGGCAACCAUUGGGCUUCUAAAUAGAUAUAAUCUUAUUCUCCACUUUCCUAUCUUCAUUUUGAUAUAUUAUGGGUCGAAUUUAAGAAACAAUUGAGUUACAAAGCUUUGAAAGUUGCCCAAAAUCGUUUUUAACUAAAGGACAAAAUCAUGGAUGUUGGACAAUCUCAGGGACCAUUUUGUAUAAUAACCCUUAAAACAAAUAAAAAGUUUUUGUAUUGGUAUUUUGCUUUUGUUCCUAAACAAUGGCAAUUUUUUACUUCUGAAAUGAUUGUCACCUUAUUAUUUGUUUAUGUGCCAGUGCCAAGUUCUGAUGGUGCUCAUUGCUCUAGGAAAAUUGGGAGGGGAAAUUUUCAUAUGCUUUGUGGAAUCUUUGAUGCAAUUAGCAUUUUAAAUUUGACCCCUCCCAUUAGUUUUUUUUUUUUCUGAUAAAUUCUGUUGCGAUCUAUGUGUGUUGCUGAUGAAAGAAGAUAAAGGUUUAGCCAUGAUUCUUAAUGGUCCCUGAAACUUGUUGAUGCACAAAAUCAGUGGGGAAUUUGGUAUAACAGAAAAUGUUAAGUUUGUGACCUUCGCUAGAUUGCUCCGGUCACUAGUGUGGAUAAGUAUGUAAAUGGACAGAGACAAGGAAGCAAACACAAGAUGUACGUGGUUCACCCAGAUUGGCUACGUCCACGGAGUAGAGAAGUUCUCAUUAAUUGUGAAGGGUUUACACAAGUACAUAGGUUCAAGCUCUCAUUUAGUGAGUACAAGUGAAUGAUUUAGUACAAAUGACAUUAGGAAAUAUUGUGGGAGAAUGAUCUCCUUUUAUAAAAGAGAGUUUCUAGUUUUGUUUUGACGUUAACACGUGUCGUGUUGUGAUUAGCUUCUGAUGUUGACACGUGUCGUGCUAUGAUUGGCUUCUGAUGUCGACAUGUGGUGCACUGUGAUUGGCCUUUUGGUUGGAGGGAAACUCUUUUGGGUCCUUGACGGUAUAACGUUGAUUAGUGCUUAGUAGUUUUGGGAUUGGUCAAGUAUGGUAUAAACAAAACUCAUGGGUACUUUCACUUACUAUGCAUACGGUGAUAAUUGUGGCUGAGGCUGUUAUGAUUCAUAACUAGGCAAUUUCCUCUCACAUUUCCUUUGGUUGUGUAAUGAUUUUCUUUUGUCCUAACUUCACUUGCCAUCAUAUGUUUAGGCUUGGGUUACCCUUGGUAGAGCAAAGUUAAACUUUGGGGAGGCUGAUAGUGCCAUUCAAAGCUUUGACAGAGCAUUAGCCAUCAAGGUACUGUUUCACCUUUCAAGAAAUUAUAAUUUGUACUUCUCAAACUUCUUACACUUUUUUAUGCCUCUUUGAGCCACUGACCUUAGGUGGAGUCUGAUACUGCAAUAUUAUGUACUAAUCUAAUAAACCCUGCAGCUUAUUCGUCUUCUUCAUGGGUAAAAUAACAUGACAGAAAGAAGCAGUAACCAGUUCACCCAUUCCCUUGAUGAUCGUUAUAAUCUUUGUUUUCUUAGUCUCCUCUAUGCCCUCCUCAUCAAGAAAGUUCUUAAACCUGUUCCCAUAUGUGUAUUGUUAAGUUGCUAAUUUAUAGAUUAACCUACUGUGAUUCUGUGCUUGAAGUCAGGCAUAUGGUUAGACUUCCAAAUUGAUGCCUUAGUAGCUUCAAUGCUUGCCUUAAAAUUACUAUAGGCAUAACUGUUACAGUUUGUUUGUACCAUACUUGACCAAUCCCGAAACUACCGAGCACCGGCCAACGCUAUACUGUCAAGGACCCAGAAGAGUUCCCCUCCGACCAGGAGGCCAAUCACUACUCGACACGUGUCAAGAUUAGAAGCCAAUCAGAGCGCAGCACGUGUCGACAUCAAGAACCAAUCAUAACAUGACACAUGUCAAUGUGACAAAGCUACAAGUUUUUCUAUAAAUAGGGGUCAUUCCCCCACAAUAUCGCCUAAUGCCAUUUUGUGUUAAAUCAUUCACAAGAACUCACUAAAUUGAGAGCUUGAUCCUUUGUACUUGUGUAAGCCCUUCACUACUAAUAAGAACUCCUCUACUCCGUGGACGUAGCCAAUCUGGGUGAACCACGUACAUCCUGUGUUUGCUUCUCUGUCUCUAUUCAUUUACGUACUUAUCCUCACUAGUGACGGAAGCAACCAAGCGAAGGUCACAAAACCUGACACUUUCUGUUGUACCAAAGUCUUCGCUGAUUUUGUGCAUCAACAUUUGGCGCCGUCUGUGGGAAACGACACUUAUUCCUACUCUCUUCAGCUGUGUCAAGCUGGUUUCUAUCAUUCGUACACUUUCUUUUGAUCUGGCAUCCCUCUCCAGCAUGGGAAGCGAAGGAAGCCACAGCACACAGAAUGACACCCCCCUUGCACAUAGUGCGAAACAACGAAAGAAGGAAGGAAAACGAGUUAUUCUUCAAGCUAAAGUCGAUGAGUUGGAAGCUUAGAACAACAAGAUAGCAAUGAGGAAUGAGGUCCUCCAGGAGCAAUAUGAGAAGCUCUUCGAGACACUUCACGAAGCUAGGCAAGCUCAGACACGCGAGCUUGUUGCCCCCGUGGAAGUCAACCAUCAACUGGGUGCCCUCCAACAUGGAGGGUCACAUGCAUUCGACAUAGAUAUCCCUGAUAGGGAACAAAUUACCCCUCGAUUUGAUAAUCAACAUGAGGCUUCUCUUAACCCAGUUGCUUCGACCCGAACCAUGAGAAGCGGAGGGAGACACCUCUUUGCUGAAGGGGCAGAAGGAUCGAAAGCUGUCUUUCGCGAUUGUCGGGAUUUCCUGAAGCAACGUCGAGAGAAUUCCAUCCAUAUAAGCUCAAAGAUCAAUGACCCAAGGAUUUCUGAGAGACUCGGUCCCCUGCCACGGCCCGAGCCGGCCACCAACUUGGGGAAGGGGCAACAAGUCCUAGAGAGACAUGAGGGUACAGGGGACUCAGAGGUGUUCCGACAGACAUACCCUGGAAGCCAGUACAGCGAGUCCAGGGAAAAAAUCACAUGCCCUUGAUCAAACCUUCCUAAUUCCAAGAGGAGAUGGAGAUUUACGAAAGAAAGCUCCAGUGGCACAUAACUCCGCUCAGGACCCCCCUUGUCCUACAACUUCUUGAGGAAGUAAACAAGUUGAAGGCUGAACGUCAGGCUAAAAUACCUGACUGGAACCAACCCAGGCCUGGCCCUCUUACAAGGAGGAUCCUCAACACCCCCCUUCAAGCAAAGACAAAGCAGAAGCUUGGCUUGCAACUUUAUACUGGGAAAGAGGACCCGAUUGAGCACCUUAACCUCUUUGAGUCCACCAUGGCAUACCGGAUGCACACCGACGAAGAGCGAUGUCUUCUCUUCCCCUCCACCCUCUCUGGCGGAGCUCUAAAUUGGUAUUGUCGUCUUACACCUGAGACGGUAGACUCAUUUGAGGAAUUGAGGAAACUAUUUGUUUCCCAACACAUUUUCCAAACCGAUCGCUUGCACUCUGCAGAUGACCUGUACACUAUCCGCCAGAAGCCAGACGAGUCAUUACGUAUGUAUGCUGGCCGCUUCAGCCAUGAAUACUCCCGGUGUGCCGAGGCAGACGACAAGACUGCCCUCAAAGCCUUCACGGCAGGCCUACGUGAUUGUUUCUUUAAAUACAUGAUCAAUGUCAAUACUUGGAAGACUUACUCUGAGGUGAUGGCGCAGGCUUAUAACCAUGCCUCCGCCGAGGCAAAGACAUAUCAGGAGAAACCCCCUACAACCAUCCUUUAUCAACAAGUGGGAGGUGGAAGCCAGACUCACCUAAAUGAGAAGACCUCGACUUUCCAAACAGCAGUGGCACCUCCCCAUGCCGUGCAUAAUGCUUCACCGAAUCAACAGACAUAUCAAUUUCAAGGCAAGAGGAAGGAUUUCCAUCCUCACCACUCUCCUUCCAGUAAAAAGAGUAAGGGACACUAUCCCGAUAACCAAGGGUAUCGCCACAAUAACGCUCGCCCCCAGGCAGUCAAUGCAGUGGGUCAAACCCGCGUCAAGAUACCCCCUACCCCAAGGUAUGAGACAUACACGCCCUUGAAUGCCACAUGCGCGGCCAUUUACCCCAGCAUAGCUCACCUGAUACCAAAGCCAAAGCCGAGGCACCCAGAUUACACGCCCCCGAAUAACGCGGGCAUGUUUUGUUGCUACCAUGAGCAUAACGGCCAUGAUAGCGAGAAAUGUAUCAUCCUCCGUGAUCGUAUUGAAGCUUUGGCACGAGAAGGAAAAAUUGAUCAAUUCCUCCUUCACCCUCAAAGGGAUAACCGUAACCAACGCCAGGUGAAUGUCAUAUAUAUUCCAUAAGCGGCGGCACACCCCAUAUCUGAAUCUUCCAAUAGGGCCAUGAAAAACAGUGAACGAAUUCUGAGGCCUGGUCACCAAGUGUUUCACGUGGAAGACAUCAGGGGAGGGAAGUAUCAAAAGCCUAACUGGGAUCCGAUAUGUUUCUACCCUGAGGAAGAAAGAGGCAUCAUCUACCCUCAUAACGACCCAUUGAUCGUGGAGGCUCACAUAGCCAACUUUGAUGUUCGACGAAUCCUCGUAGACACAGGGGCUUCGGUCAAUAUCAUGUUUGCCGAAGCUUUCAGGGCACUCAGUGUAGCUGAACACUUGCUCGAUCGCUCGAUUUCUCCUCUGAUAAGCUUCUCCGGUGAUAUCGUGCAACCCUUAGGGAGCAUACAUUUACCCUUUACUAUUGGUACAGGCCCUUACACGGCUACCAUUACCACUAACUUCCUAGUGGUUGACUGCCCAACGGCAUACAAUGUCAUCUUUGGGCGCACAGGCAUCAAUGAUCUCAAGGCUAUAUGGUAUCCACGCAUAUGCUGUUGAUGAAAUUUCCAACCCCCAUGGCAACGACUACAUCAGAGGAGAUCAGCUUACUGCACGAUCAUGUUACAACACUUCAGUUAAGCAACAACACUUGCCCGGACCCAAGGAAACCCUGUCUGUACAUGACCAAGUCACAAAGACCAGCCUAGAUGAAGCGAACUUGGAUCUUCCUGAUAGCAACAAUCAACCCGAUGAUCCUCGAGAUGACUCUUUCACCCAGCAAGCCCAACCUGCUGAAGAGUUGGAGAAGGUACCUAUCUCAAGAGAUUAUCCAGAUCGCAUGGUGAAGAUUGGCACCACAUUGUCACCACCCCUUCGGUUAGCAUUGAUAUCUUUUUUGAAAGAGAACACUGAAGUCUUCGCCUGGUCAUACGAGGACAUGCCAGGCAUCUCUCCCGAUGUCAUCUGUCAUCGUUUGAGUAUUGACCCCAAGAUCAAGCCGGUGAGACAGAAGCGAAGAUCUUAUGACGCUGAACGAUACGAGGCAAUGAAAGCAGAAGUUGAAAAACUCAAAGGCAUAGGCUUUGUCCGCGAAGUCAAUUACCCGACAUGGGUAGCAAAUGUGGUCCUUGUUAGGAAAAAUCCGACCAAAGAAAGUCUUUCGCUUCAAAAGGUCUUGUGGAGGAUGUGUGUUGACUACACCGACCUAAAACAAAGGGUGUCCGAAAGAUAGUUUCCCUCUUCCUCUUAUUGACAGGCUUAUAGACUCUACGGCAGGGUGUGAGCUCUUGAGCUUUAUGGACGCUUAUUCAGGAUACAACCAAAUCCUCAUGAACCCCUCAGACCAAGAACACACGGCCUUCACUACUGACAGGGGACUAUAUUGCUAUAAAGUCAUGCCUUUCGGCCUAAAGAAUGCAGGAGCAACUUAUCAGAGACUGGUCAAUUCAAUGUUCGCCGAACAAAUUGGGAAGAACAUGGAAGUUUACGUUGAUGAUAUGCUAGUCAAAAGCAAACAUGCUGACCAACACAUCACCAACCUAUCUGAAACUUUCACCAUUCUAAAGAGGUAUCGAAUGAGGUUGAACCCCAACAAAUGUGCCUUCGGCGUGGGCUCUGGCAAAUUCUUAGGCUUCAUGAUUAGCCAACGAGGCAUUGAAGCUAACCCUGAAAAGAUCAAAGCAAUCCUCGACAUGAAAGAGCCAAUAACUUCAAAAGACAUCCAAAGCCUUACUGGCAAGGUGGACGCCUUAACCAGAUUCAUCUCUAAGGCCACAGACAGAUGUGCUCCUUUCUUCAAAGCACUCAAGGGAAAUAAGAAGUACAUUACAUGGACGGAGGAAUGUGCCAAGGCAUUCAGGAACCUCAAAGAGUACAUGAGUAAAGCCCAUCUGCUCUCCAAACCAGAAGUUGGUGACACUCUCAUCAUCUAUCUAUCGGUUUCGGCUUCAGCAGUCAGUUCUGUUCUUAUUCGAAUGGACAGUGGUGUCGAACGGCCCGUCUACUACGCUAGCAAGGCCCUACAAGAUGCGGAGACACGAUACUCCAACAUUGAGAAAUUAGCUCUAGCAUUGGUCAUGUCUGCUCGGAAACUUCGCCCUUAUUUCCAAGCACACGCCAUCAUCGUGCUUACCAAUCACCCUCUUCGACAGAUACUCCAGAGUCCUACACGUCUGGACGAAUGAUCAAAUGGGCGAUAGCAUUGGGUGAGUUUGACAUCUCCUACCAACCAAAACCAGCCGAAAAAGGCCAAGCAGUAGCAGAUUUCAUCGCCGACUUCACAUAUCCUGUUGACAUUGCUUCUACACCUAAAGCAGUAGCUUCAUUACCAUCGAAAGCUCAGAAGAUAGAACCAACAACCCCAGCAUGGAGUCUGUAUGUUGAUGGCUCAUCCAACCAACAAGGCUGUGGAGCGGGACUAGUCUUGACUACGCCCGACAAAGUAGCAAUGGAGUAUGCUCUUCGUUUCAAAUUCAAGGCAUCAAACAAUGAGGCCGAGUAUGAAGCCCUUCUAGCAGGAUUACGUUUGGCCAAACACCUCGGGGUUAAACAAAUUGAUAUUUUCAGUGACUCCCAAUUAGUGGUCAACCAGGUUACCAACAACUUUGAUGCUAAGGACAGCUCCAUGGCAGCAUAUCUUGCGCAAACACAACUUUUGCUCAAACACUUCCACUACCAGAUCACCCAAGUUCCUCGAGCGGCAAACAGUCAUGCAGACGCCCUGGCUCGCCUCGCCUCAGCUGUGGAAGACAAGAUUGGAAGAAAAAUUNCUGGAAGUACUUUUUCUCCAUCCAGGGGUGGUAUCUUUAACCGAUGAAGAUGCACAAGGUAAUGUAUCAAUUUCACUUGAAGCUUAGUUGUAGUUUUGGGCUUGGUCAAGUGCGAUACAAACCCUAUAGUAGGAGUCCCCUAAGUCGCCGAGCUAGGAGAUUUUCGGAAUGAGGUAACAGACAAGGUAAGCAAUCAGACUUCCAAGCAAGCAACCUAGAUCGGAGGUUCGACUUCAGCUUCCGGUUGAUUGUUCUCCUUCUUCUUGUGUUGUAAACAGCAACAAAGAUAAGGAGAAGCAAAUGGAGAAUAAAUGAUAUGAGAUACUUUUGCUUUUGAAGAAGUAACUUUCCACCAGUUUAUUCUUGAACUGGGCUGGAGGGUUUUCUGGUUUCCUCUAGAGUAUAAGGCUGACUCAAGAAUUUAAGGGUCAAAACAAGUCCAUCAAAUCUGGAGUACGUUCGACCCUGAUGAUAUGGGAUACUUUUGUUGUUGACAAAGUAGUGGAUGUAUCGACACGUGUUCUGUUACGCUUGUCUCCACAUGCUUCCUUGUAUCCUUCUCACUUGCCCUAUCUGUUCCUCAGGCAGAUAUGGUAUCUUCUUUGGAAGCAUAAGAUGUUGAAGAUGAGUACUCAAGAGCAAUGCCAGGUAAGUAAUCAGGCAAGGGGUUACAGGCAAUCAGUUUCUAACUGGAAGCUUGAUUCCAAGUGCUGACUGAUUGCUCUCUUUCUCCUUGUCUUACAGGUAAGAACAAGGCCAAAGGAAAAGACAGGGAAAAAGCAUGAUAUGGGAUACUCUUGCUUUUAACCGUGAUGAUAUGAGAUACUCUUGCUCUGGUGUGGCUUGUUUGCAGAGGUAUUAUGGGGAGGAAAAGAAGCUGAGUAUUUCGAGAAACUCUGCUGAGAGUGCCCUCUCGGAUGUGAGGAAAAGUUGAGCAUUUUUUUUUAUUUGCAGGUCUGCCUGGCUAUGGAGGAUGAAGGUCGACAUAUAUAAGAGUCUCCUUAAUAACAAGUAGUAGUGCUAUUCCUUUACCCUUCUUGGUCAUAGCAAUGUAGUGGGAGCUGCAAGCUUCACGUGUUUUAACUUUGUCAGAGCACUUUGAAAAACUGGUAUGUGGUAUCUGAAAAGCUGAUGUUGCGUGUGAAGAUUGCAGACAAGCUUUAUCCAAGGAAAUCUGGCUCUCGAAGUUCGAAAAGCAGUGCCUCUUCGAUUUUUGAACAAGCAAUCCUGUCAGGGAUCUUACUCUCGAGAUUCAGAUAACGGUGCCUCUUCAAUUUUUGAGAAAGCAAUCUUGUUGGGAGUCUGACUCUUGAGAUUCGGAGAACAGUCGAUUUUUUAGAAAGUAAUCUUAUUGGGAGUCUGGCUCUUGAGAUUCGGAGGGUGGUGCCUCUUCGAUGUUUGAGCACGUAAUCCUAUUGGGAGUCUGGCUCUCGAGAUUUGGAGAAUGGUGCAUCUUCGAUUUUUGAGAAAGCAAUCUUGUUGGAAGUCUGACUCUCGAGAUUCGGAGGGCGGUGCCUCUUCAAUUUUUGAGCAAGCAAUCUUAUUGGGAGUGUUUUCUCGAAUGUGAGUAAAGGUUUGACAUUUUUGCCAGUCUGCCUUGCCACGGAGCAUGAAGGUUGACACACAUUGAGACUUUCUAGUUAUCAAGCAGUGGUGUUGUUCCUUUACCUUUGUGGGUAAUAGUAGGGUAGCUGGACCUUCAAAAUUUAUAUGUCUAAACUUUGUCAGAGAUUUUUGGCAAAGUUAUCUGUGGUACCCGAGGAGAUGAUGUUGCAUGUGGAAAGUGGUCUCUAUUCGGAAUCCGGAGAGUGGUGCCUCUUCGAUUUUUGAACCAACGGCCCUGUUGCCUUUUCUUUUAUAAGGGCACCAAUUUGUGCUAGAAGUACAUUUAGAGAGUUAUUGCUUGUAGGAAUUUUCCCCUUACUUCAGAGAUUUAUUGCACCUCAUUUCUCAUUCAUCAUUUCUGAGAAUGUCUGGCUCAUCCGACCAUUGUUUUGACUUGAACUUUGGUGAAGAGGCAGCCAUGCCUUCUUAAGACAACAUAUGACGCCCAUCUUUCUUAUCCCCUACUGGUCCUCUUACCGUUGGGGACUCUAUGAUGAAGAAUGAUAUGACCGCUGCGGUGGUGGCCAGGAACCUUCUCACUCCCAAAGAUAACAGACUACUUUCCAAACGGUCUGAUGAGUUAGCUAUUAAGGAUUAUCUGGCUCAAAGUGUUCAGUGUGCAGGUUCUGUGUCUAAUAUGGCCCAACGCCUAUUUGCUCGAACCCGCCAAGUUGAAUCAUUGGCAGCUGAAGUGAUAAGUUUCAAACAGGAGAUCAAAGGGCUCAAGCAUGAGAAUAAACAGUUACACAUGCUCGCACAUGACUAUGCUACAAACAUGAAGAGGAAGCUCGACCAGCUGCAGGAAUCUAAUGGUCAAAUUUUACUUAAUCAUCAGAGAUUUGUGGGUUUGUUCCAAAGGCAUUUAUUGCCUUCGUCUUCUGGGGCUGUACCGCGUAAUGAAGCUCCAAACGAUCAACAUUUGGUGCCUCAUCUUUCUGGGGUUCUGCCUAGUACUAAGGCUCCGAAUAACCACCCUCUGGUGCCUCCUAAUUCUGGGGCUCUCCCGACUACUGAGACUUCUCCUGAGCAACCUUUGUGAAGGCUCCCUCUUGUUUGUUUAUUUUGAUUCAUGUAUAUGUACAUAUUUGUAACUUAUCGGAGAUAUCAAUAAACAAGCUUUGCUUCAUUUCAACGUAUUAUGUUAAAUACACCAAGGCCUUCUUCAUUAAGUUCUUUGAAUUUUUCCUUUUGUUGAAUCUUGUAUGUUGAAGCUUUAUGAGUGAAGCCUGUAUGUUGAGGUAGUGCUCCCUUAAUUUCCCGAGUGAGGAAAACUGCUUGGUUGGAGACUUGAAAAAAUCCAAGUCACUGAGUGGUCAUGAGACUUCUGAGUAUCAAGGUACAGUAGCAUAUGGUAGGAGUCCCCCAAGUCUCCGGUCAAGAGAGUUGACGAAUAAGGUGUCUUGCUAGUAGCCAAGUUUCCAAAGUAACAAAAUUUCACCAUUUUCCUUUCUAAGUGGCAACCCAAAACUCCGAAUAUAUAUUUAUUUUUUUUUUUCAAAUAAGAGGAGCCUAGGCAAUUUAUUUAUUUAUUUAUUUUUUCAAAUUUUCAAAUUUUUGAAUUUUUGAAUUUCCGAAUAUAUAUAUAUAUAUAUAUAUAUAUAUAUAUAUAUAAAGCUUUGUAGGUGAAGUUUUGAGGUUGAAACUUUGUUGGGUACCAUGAAUUGAUUUUGCUUCACACUAUCUUGUCAAGAUAAUGUGAAGCUUUUGAGAAUUUGUAGUUGUCCUCCAUUGAUGAAGCAAUUUGUAGUUGUCCUCCAUUGAUGAAGCUUUUGUUGGUGAAGCUUUUGUGGUGGGGGAAGCUUUUGUGGGAGAAGCUUUUGUGGUGUGAGACUUUUGUGAGUGAAGCUUUUGUUGGUGAAGCUUUUAUGGGUGAAUCUUUUGUAGGUGAAGCUUUUGUGGUGGGUGAAGCUUUUGUGGGUGAAGCUUUUGUGGUGGGUGAAGCUUUUGUGGGUGAAGCUUUUGUUGGUGAAGCUUUUAUGGGUGAAGCUUUUGUAGGUGAAGCUAUUGUGGGUGAAGCUUUUGUAGGUGAAGUUUUUGUGGUGGGCGAAGCUUUUGUGGUGGGUGAAGCUUUUAUGGGUGAAGCUUUUGUAGGUGAAUGAUGAUGCACAAAAUCAGUGAGGACUUUGGUACAACAGAAAGUGUUAAGUUUGUGACAUUCGCUAGAUUGCUCCGGUUACUAGUGUGGAUAAGUAUGUAAAUGGAUAUGGACAGGGAAGCAAACACAAGAUAUACGUGGUUCACCCAGAUUGGCUACGUCCACGGAGUAGAGGAGUUCUCAUUAAUUGUGAAGGGUUUACACAAGUACAUAGGUUCAGGCUCUCAUUUUGUGAGUACUAGUGAAUGGUUUAGUACAAAUGACAUUAGGAAAUAUUGUGAGAGAAUGAUCUCUAUUUAUAGAAGAGAGUUUCUAGUUUCAUUCUGACAUUGACAAGUGUCGUGUUGUGAUUAGCUUCAGAUGUUGACACGUGUCGCGCUAUGAUUGGCUUCUGAUGUCGACACGCGUCGAGCUGUGAUUGGCCUCCUGGUUGGAGGGAAACUCUUCUGAGUCCUUGACUGUAUAACGUUGACCGGUGCUCAGUAGUUUCGGGGAUUGGUCAAGUAUGGUACAAACAUACUUUAAUCUUCUCCCGGGUCCCCAAUUACAACAAAAAUCAGAAUUGUAUAAAUAUUAAGAACACAAUGAAACUGAAAAAAUUAUAUGGUUCUGGAAGGUAUACAAAAAGUUUCCCCUUCUUUCGUCUUAAAUUUGUUUUGCAGCUUUAUUUCGGCUCAAGUUUCAUUUUCUUUCGUCUAGGAAAUUUUUAUAGCCUGAAAUUUCAAUGGAACUGAAAUAGGGAGAGGAGGACAACCCAAAUUUCUGAAUGAUCCCACUGCUUCUGGUGUACGAAGAUAUGAAGAUUUGCCAAUUGAUGAACACAGAGGAGAAACAGAUUUACCUUCUUUCGAUUUAACCACCUUGGUAGCAGCCACAGAAAACUUCUCUUAUGCUAACAUGCUUGGCCAUGGCGGCUUCGGCAUGGUAUAUAAGGUACUUCCCCUAGAACAUUUUGAGAUCUGUGCAUUAUGUGGCUUCGGCAUCUCUGUUGUCAUUAAGAUUUUCGAGUCUGCACCAUGAUUUCAGGGAUGUCUAGCUGAUGGACAAGAAAUAGCUGUUAAAAGAUUAUCGAGAAAUUCAGGACAAGGCAUAGACGAAUUCAAGAACGAAGUAAUGCUUAUUGCAAAGCUUCAGCAUAGAAAUCUUGUGAGGCUUUUGGGUUGCUGCAUACAUAAAGAAGAGAUGAUGCUAAUCUAUGAAUACAUGCCAAAUCGUAGCUUCGACUUAUGCAUUUUUGGUAUGCCAUCUUUACACACUGCUAUUAAAUACUUUAAGUUUUCUGACAUAAACCCUGAAAUUAAGAAAUCAUAAACUUGUAGAUAAUAGAAGCUUUUAUGUGUGGUGUUCAGAUAAAAACGGAAAUUCGUCGUUAGAUUGGAGAAAAAGGUUUCAAAUUAUCAUUGGGAUUGCUCGAGGCGUCCUAUAUCUUCAUCAAGAUUCGAGACUAAAAAUAAUCCACAGGGAUUUGAAAGCGGGCAAUGUUUUACUCGAUGGUUCAAUGAACCCAAAAAUAUCAAAUUUUGGCAUAGCAAGAAUGUUCGGGGAUGACCAAAUUGAAGCAAACACGAACAAAGUUGUUGGCACCUAGUAAUUGUCUCAUCUCCCUUGAAAAAAAAAAUUCAAGUAGAACCAAUAUUUUUUUUUACUCAUAUUGUGUAAUUGCAGCGGUUACAUGUCACCGGAGUAUGCUAUGGAUGGGCUAUAUUCCACAAAAUCCGAUGUGUUUAGCUUCAGAGUCUUGACACUAGAGAUCAUUAGUGGAAGGAAGAAUACCUUCCAAUUUGAAAACUCAUCUCUAAAUCUAGUUGGACUAGUAAGUAAACAGAUAAUUUUUCAACCGAUGAAUCUAACUUUCGAGUAGUCCAAUGAUCUAAACUUUGUGCUCAAAAUUGUUUCAGAUAUGGGGCUUGUGGACAAAAGGAAAAGUCUUGGACAUAAUUGAUUCAUCAUUGAACCAGUCGUAUUCGACUCCUGAAGUUAUGAGAUGCAUUCAGAUUGGGCUCUUGUGCGUUCAAGAAUACCCAACAGACCGGCCAACCAUGCUAGAUGUUGUGUUCAUGUUGGGGAAUGAAACUACUCUUCCACGUCCGAAAAAGGCAGCAUUUAGCUUGAAAAACAGUGGUCCGGAUUGUUCAACGUCUAAAGAAGCUCCUUCUGUAAAUGAUGUAACAGUAGCAGUUAUUGAAGCUCGUUGAGUUUGCACUUUGCCAGUUCUUGUAGAGAUUUUGUGUUACUUCUCAAGUAUUUGUACUCAAAUCGAGAUUCCUUGUGUAGAGAAGGCAAUGCCUUUGAAAUUGUCGAUUCAUCUCUGGACGGAUCGUACCCUAUCAACGAAGUUGUGAGAUGUAUCUAAAUUGCCCUCUUAUGUGUGCAAGAGUAUUUUGGAUAUUAUACUUUAAUCCAACGGCUAAUAGGUCACUAUAGUUAUGGAAUGUAAGUAGGAUUAGAGUUUAACUUGGACUCCAAGUAAAGAUAAUAUUCCGGUUAUUCUUGAAGAAUAAGAGUUCUUGAUACUAUCCUAUUUGGAUUGAGGUUUGGUAGAUUAUUUGUUUGUACAAUAAGGCAUCCUAAUGACAUCAGAACAGAAUCCUAAUGACAUCAUUAUGGGAUUAUGCAUUCAGUUUUUUUUUUUUUUUUUUUGAAUAAACAAUAUUAUUUACACUAAGAGGUUGGGAGUAGGGUAAGCCUCAAAAUGGGGUUCAAAUUCACCUUUGACAAUAAUCAAACCUUAAACCUCUCAAUUACCAGUGAAGAUCGGAAUAUUACUAAACCGUAGUAAGUGACGAGAGAAUGCAUUAGGGUUAAGUUAGUAUAAAUGCUAAACAUAGGUCCCUGCACAUACCUCUGAAACACAACUCAAAAGAAUUCCCCAUAGGUUUGAGGUAUACUGACACGCCCCAACCCAAAUAUCCUAAUGAUACCUGCAUGGCACGUGCUGACCGACACUCGGAAGUGACGAAAGCCAUAAUUCCAUACAAGCACAAGAAAAUAUCAGCACCUGAAGAUCAAAAAUAAUAAACAAUAACAAGAUCCUGAAUUAAACAUAAGGGUAUCGGAAAGUUCAAUGAUCAUAGAUUCGAAACAAAAGAAAUACAAAUAUGUCCAGAGCAUACUACUACACGGAACUACAAGUGCAAAUAAGAAUUCAGAUUACAAUUCAGCAAGAAAAUCAUACCCAAAUGGAAGAGCUCAAAGUCACUGGUAGGGAAAUACCUCGACACUCGGGUCGUACUCCUCGUCACAAGGUCCUAAGUGGGCACAAAACAGAAAAGGUGAGUGGACCAUAGUUAUAUUUAUACUAAUACUAUUCAAACCCAAAUUCUUUCUUAACAUAAUAACCCCCUGCUUUGAAAACAGAUAUAAUACUACGUAUAGGUUUUUCUAAAACUCUAGCAUGCUAGAAAAGUUUGUAACCAUAAAAUCAUCUCUAAAACAUGCAUCUCGAAAUGCCCGAAGGCAAAACCAUAAAUCCCAUCAAAGUUGUAUUCUCUAGGGGUAUCAUAGUCGCCCGAAGGCAGUACCUGUCCAUCGUCCGAAAGCGAAGCUGUACGACACUGGGUUACGUCAGUCAAGAAACAUGGUAGGCCCCAUCACCCGAAGGUGAAGCUAUACUACUCCGGGUUACGCUGGAGAAUAAACUCUAUAACAUCUCACAUUGACACUAGUUGUGACUAGUGAAGCUGUCCGACACUGCUUUUGGCAAUGAAACUAGGGGUAUAACAUAUAUCCCACUCCUCCUCAUCACAGUGUCCUAUGACCAUAGACAUCUAAUACCCGUGUUGUGUGGAUGUGUUGUAUGAUAACUCACUAGAUAUAUAUACCCAAAAUAUAACUCAAAUCUCAAAGCUCAAGUCAACAACUCAAAUCAUUCUCAUAAACCACAAAUCCAUAAUAUAUCAUAAAUCCGCAAUAUCUCAUAAGGCAUAAAAGAAAUAGUCGUAAACCUUUUCUAAGUGUGAAAUCAAUAGUUAUAACAUUUCAUAAAAUGUAAUUUAAAUAAAUCAUAAUAUAGAAAUUCGUAAAGCAAAGUAUAAUAUAAAACGUAUUCAAAUCAGGUAAUAUGAAUUUGCAUGCUAGAUGGUUAAUUAUAAAAUAUACAUUUGAUAAGGGGUCCACUCACAAGUACUCCGCUCUCGGGGAGCUGCUCGAAUUAGGGAGAACUGGAUCAUCUUCCAUCGGUGCACCUAUACACAAAAUAGAGACUAUUUAAUAAAACGCUAAAGCGAUUGAAUUUGUGAAAACGGAGUGUAGAUUUGGAAUCAGAAUGUCGAAAUUAGUCUAGAAGGGUCCCGAUCGAAAAACUCGAAAAAGUCGACGGUCAACGUUGACCAUAAAGUCAACGGUCAAUGGGUCACAGUCAACGGGUCAAAUGGGUUGGACAUGUUUGGUUGGGUUGGGCCGAGGGUCUUUGGGCCGGGUUAAGUAAAAGGACUUGGGCCUAUUUUAAUUUUAAGUUUUGGGCUUAUGCUAUGAAAUAAAAGGGCGGGCUUAGCCCGUUGUGGGCUAAAUCAUUUGGGCUCUGGGCUGAGUUGGCAUGCGGGUUGGGACGACACGAGUUACUCGUGGGUCACCGGACCCAUCGAAAGAGAACACCGGCUUUUUGGCCGGAAAUUCUCCCAACUUCGAUCUGGGGUUAAACUUGCUGAAAAAUCACAAUUCAAACAUUAAACAAUGAUGCUGGAACCUGUCGGGUCAGAAUUGGCUUGACCGUGUCAGAAUUGGCCGGGAUUCGUCACGAAACCCGUCGGGUUUCCUCGCCGGAUUCUGGAAAAAGGAAACAGAGUGCAUGCAUAAUAAAUCUCAAUGAUCUUCCACCAAAAUUCACAUGCAACAAGGUAUCUAGUGACCUAGGGUCGUGUCCAAUUGAUUUCGAUUGUCAACACCCUCAAAAUCGCCGGAAAAAACCACGGGUUCACCGUCGACAUCUGAGACCAAAAGAGUAGGUGCAUGCAGAGAGUUAAACCCCAGAUUUUUCCACAUAAUACUCGUCUAGAUGGAUUAGAAACCAACACAACCAAGAAGGAAAAAUAGUUCAUACCUGCGAUGACAAUUCAAGAGAGUUCAAGCUCUCAGUGUCAAUGGCAGAGUACGUAAAAGUGCACAGAUGCCACAUGCAACCUUACAGGUGAGUUCCCUAGGUCCUAAAGAUUCGAAGUUCAAGUUUCUAGAAGUUGGUUUGGUCCUUCUCGGAUAUAGAGAGUGAAUGCAGAAAAGAAUUAGGAAGAAGAGAGAGUGUUCAGAUAGUGGGGGAUCACGGGAGAGGGAAGGAAUAAUGGGUUGGGUUUUGGGCUUGUCACAGCCCAAAGAACUGGACCAAUUUGAUAAAACCCAACACAUGGGCAAAUUCGUAAUUUUACACUUAAAUUUUUACGGUGGGUUGUUACUAGGGAUGGGCAAAAUACCUAUGGGUUUGGGUAACCACGGUUAUCCGUCCAUUUAAAGCUCACGGUUAUGGUUAUGGGUAACUGUUUGGAUGAAUAAACGGUUAUGGGCAUAACUGUUUAUCCGUGAAAUUUAAAUGGGCGAUUAUGGGUAUUACCCACGGUUAUAACGGGUAUCCAUCAGUUAUGGUUAUUACCCGCGGUUAUAACGGAUAUCCAUUUACCCAUUUAAUUUAAUAUAUGUAAAAUUAAAAAAAAAAGUAAAAACCCUAAAUUUUCAAUCUUUUCAUGAAACUCAGAGUCUUAAACGCCCCGUCCCCGCUCAUCUCUCCCUCCUUGCUGCCCUCUCUCUCAUCUCCGAACCGAUCCCAAAAGUUUCGGCUUGCGAUUCGGCCACAUCUUUAAAAGUGUUCGGUAAUCCCGAACCAACCGAAUAUUUUAUAUAUAUAUAUAUAUAUAUAUAUAACAUAGGCAUAUAUAAAAUUAGAAGGCAUACAUGAUACUGAAGCAGAAAACUAUAUAUUAUAUAUAUGUAACAUAGGCAUAUAUAAAAUUAGAAGACAUACAUGAUACUGAAGCAGUAAACAAAAUGUUAAAAGGGAUUUCGGGUUUAAUACAGCUCUUCCAAGCAACUCUGCCCUCUCUCUCGCUUAUGUCGCCCUCUUCUGAUUCCUCACAUUGUACGAUUCAUACCUAUCAAAACUAUCUUUCAAAGACUGAGACUAUAACGGUGUUUAAUUGUCAGAAAAUAAAAAUUAUGACAAAUUUUUCUUUUAUAAUUUUCAAGUUGUUAAAAAAAAAACAUGUAGAGGGUGAAAAAAGGGUAAAUGGGUGAAAAAGGAUAAACGGGUUCAAAAAUAGGUAAACAGGUAAACGGUUAUGGUUAAAUAGGUAAACGGUUAUGGGUAUGGUUAAUUGUUUAUAAACGGUUAUGAGUAUGAGUAUAAUCGUUUAUGUAAUUACCCAACAGGUAAACGAUUAUGGGGGUAUGAAUAUAAACGGUUAUGGGUAAAUAACCGCGGUUACCCGCCCGCCAUAACCGUUGCCCAUCCUUAGUUGUUACCUAUACAAUGGUGGUGAGUGUGCAAAAGGCCUUGCUUGUGUUCUUAGUGUGUUCGUGUGCUUGCUGCAGUUCGUGGCUUGCUCUGCUGUCGAAAAUGGUUUCUCCAGGCUAGUAUUUUCAUGCUGUUUUUAUUCACAUGCACAUAUUAGGAUUUACAGAGUAUGCAACUGAGCGAGCGGCCAACAAUGUCGGCUGUCAUUUUCAUGCUAUGUAAUGAAGCAGUAGCUUCUUCAAUAAAACAACCAGCAUUUUUAUUAGAGUUGUAACAGUGGGGACCCAUCACCACAGUAUUGAAGGAGAUAAUUCUGUAAAUGAUGUGACUUGUAGUAGCGUAGAACCUCGCUAAACUUAAAACUCCUGAGAUAUUCCUAAACGUUGUAUGUUAAACUACUAUUGGUAGCAGCUUGUAAAAGGUUAUUAACCACAAAAAUUUUGCUUCUAAUAAGUAGUUCCAAUUUUCUUUCUAGUGCAUUGACAUGCGGGACGUCAGAAUUAUUGGUCUCGAUUGUGACGUAAUUGAAGAGAAAUUGUACUAGUCUACUUGGCUAGUUCUUUAAAUUAUGUGACAUGUACUAUUGUGGAGGCUUAGCUAACAUAAAAUUUGGCACAAAAUUGAGCUUAAUGAUGUUCUAAAAUUCAUACAGCGCCGACCUCAUUUAAUGAGAUAAGACUUUAUUGUUGUUGUUUGUACUAUGGAUGAUGCUUGAUUUCUAACAGCCUUGGAUUUGAAAUGUAAAUCCGUCCUCUACAUAUGACACAUUCACAUUUAUUAGAGUUUAAGAAUGAGAGAUUUGUGUUAAUCAAACUUCAUGUACAGGAAAGAAGAUGUUGAUCAGUGAUGCUUUAAUGCCAAAUAAAUAAUCCUAGGACUUUUCAAAUUGGUUUACCAUUAUUUAUUUUAUUACGGAUCGCUUUUACCAUAGUAUCCAUUACUAAAUUACUAAUCACAUCUUAGCAUUCAGGCCAGCCCUGAGGGUAGCCGAGGUAGGCCGCCUAGUGCCCCCAAGUUCGGGGGGCCCCCAAAUUUUUUUAUACAUCCUGCAUAUAAAAUAUAAAUAAAGAAAACGUAAGAAACACCACAAUUAUUUUGUUGGUGCAGUGGAAACGGUUCCACUCUGUUUUCAUUGAGGUGGGCAGUUCGAAACACCUUGUAGGUAUUAGUUUUUGCGUUUUUCAAAUCUAUGAAAUUAAAGAUUAAAAUUAAAGAUAAAUUGCUCUUUAAAAAUUGUAAAAUUACAAGAAUCAAAAGGAGUUAAAAUAAUUCAACAAAUAUUAAUUUUGAAUGAAUUUAAAAUUUUCAACUUUAGAAAAAAAAAAAAAAAAAACCUCAUGGUAGUGAGUGGUUUAUGUUUAAAUUCUUAUUUAUUUUCAAAAAUAUUUUAAAUAAAAAUUGUAUAAAUAGAAAAAACUUGAGUUUCUUAAAUAAAAAACAUACAAAGGCCAAUUGUAAGAAGCUAGUGAAAUUAAUGGCCUCAAUUUGUCCAAAUGCAUUUUUUUUUCUUUUGCUUUUGAAAAUAACCUAAAAAAAAUAACAAAAACCAGAAUAAUCAUAACUUUGUAAUCCUUUUUCUUUCAACUUUCCAGUCUUUCUAUUUCUGUUGAAUGUUUAAGCAACUAUCACUUGGUCCUGAAGAUUGUAAUUUGAGGUAACCAUAACUUUGAAUUUAAAUUUUCUUUUUCAAUAAUUUAUUGUUAAACUAGGUUAUUCUAAAAUUUGAUUUGCUAGUGUGUGUUGAUUUUAGAAAGAACACAAGAGAACCACUAGGCGUUGUUGAAUUAUUAUAUUCGUCAAUCAAGUUUUAUUGUUUUUUACUCUCUUGAUCAUCAAGUUUUAUUGCUCUUCACUCUCAAUCUUAGUGCAUUUGCGUCUAAAGACAUGUGACAUGGAAUAUUAAGUAAUGUUAGUAUAUAUUUUUUUUUUCUUUUGAUAUUAAUUUAUAAUGAUAUUGGAUAAGCUCAUAUUUAUAUAUAUUUUACAUCAAAUUCACUUGUCUUUUCUUAGUUAGUUCCUUAUAUUUUUGAGCUAUUUACAUUGUUUUUGUGUUUUGUGGGAUUUGUCAAGCCAAGAAAAGAAAAAUAGCACAAAUAGGAUUUUUAGUAACAAAUUCGUCAAAACUGCCUGUGCAGAUCAGCUGACUUUGGAAGCAAGUUGCGAACAGCUCAGAAUGAAUUAGAGAAUGAGCCUUAUAUGCUUGGAAAUCUACGGAUGUCUAUUUUCUGGAGCAUUUCGCAGAUUGUUAAUAUCAUUUUUGUAGAAGAAGUUAUGGCCAUUUUAACACUAAAAGGUUCACAAGAGACUGAGCAGUUUGUAACUACAAUGAAAGCAAUAAACCCAAUAAGUCUAACAUCCAAAACUGAUGCAGCCAAGAACAAGUCAGCUGAUACCUAUUCAAAUAUCAGGGGAAAUGGAAAUAAAGAUGAGAAUUAAGUGGGAGUAAUGGGCAUAAAGGCUACCCAAAGAGUUACAAUUGUUUUACCAUUUCCUCUCACUUAUGGUCAUCACUAAAUGAUUGUUAGUGGGGUGAGUGAUGGAAAACAAAACUGGGAUAUCAAGCAAGAACAAAAAGGUGCAGGUUGCAGCUGCAAAGUGGGGGGGGGGGAAUAGGAGAAGAAAAAAGAAAAGAAAAGAAAGAGGACAAGGCAGCAGUGUUGGGGAAGGAAAGGAAGGAGGAAAUCUUGACAUUCUCUUCUCUCGGUUUUAUCUUCUCAAACUCAUGUCUUUCUUUUGGUUUUAUUUGAUAAUAAUGUGUAACUAAAUUCUUAGUAGUUAGGGGCUGUUUUGAAGCCCCAAAUAUGAUUACAAGUUUGUUAUGACAUUUUGUUUGAAUUACUUUUAUGAAUGGAUGAAAAUUGAUUCACUACUUGUCUCAUUGAUGAAUUAUUUAUGUGUUUUCUACGGAUGCAUACUUAGUAAGCAUAUCUAGGAUUCUAAAGCUAUGAAUAUGUAUGUGCCUGCCCUUGUCGAAUGAGAACCUACAUAUGUUCUAGAGUAGUACUUGUCAAUUGCGAUUAACAUGUGAACUAAUUUCUAGGAUAAGUAAGACAACGUCAGUACUUACGAUGCCAUUCUAGAUUGCAUGCUAGGGACUAAGUUAAGUUGAAAACGUCAUUCUCUUAACAUACUACAUAAGAAAGAGUAAUUUCGUAGAAUUUAGGUAAGUGUAAGUUGGUCUAAUAAUUAUUUUUCGGUGGCUGGUCAGUAGGGACAGCAACUAGUUUACCCUUAUUUUCAUAUGCUACAAUUGACAAAUCUUAGUGUUAAUGAGGAAAAUCAAUAAGACAUUUGUGUGCUAUUUUAUGGUGUGCUUUUAAUCCUAUCAAUAUUCGAUGAAGAAAUAUACUUUUUAUGUAAUUAGCGAAUUCUUCUUACUACAUACCAAUAUACAAAGAGUCGGAGGUCCGAGAACUUUAGGGCCCCACUUUGAAGACUCGCCUAGGGCCCCCAAAUUCUCAGGGCCGGCCCUGCUAGCAUCUUACCACCUUCUAGCACAUUUAUUAGGUGUUAGAUUUUAUCACAAAAAUUAAAAACAAAACCAUUCAUUGUAUUUUGUAAUUUAUUUUACCAAUUUUUCGACAUGAGAUAUUUUUGCAUUCUUCAACAGCGUGCACAUCUCUCAACCUAGUCGCUACGGGUAGCACUUAAACUCCUCAAUGAGAAAGCUAACCAUGAAUCCUACUAAUUUUUUUUGUCAAUAUUGUGUUGCUCAUCUUCCUUGUGAUUCUUCCCUCUUCCAUUUCGGCUGCUCUAGACGCCAUUACACCAAACCAACCCCUAAGAGAGGGCGACGUUCUUCUCUCCACCACUAAAAUCUUUGCACUAGGGUUUUUUAAAGCCAAGCAAUUCUCAUAACCGUUACGUCGGAGUUUGGUAAAACAAAAUUCCAAUCAAAACUGUUGUCUAGGUUGCAAACAGAGAAAACCCCAUAAUUCCCCUAUUGCUGGAACUGGACGCGCCCUAUAUUAGAAAAGUAUUCUCAUUGAAUGAAUAAUUAGAGUACAUUUGGUAUUUAUACAAAGAGCUAUAUUUGACAGCUCAUCAAAACUAACCUAUAACUAUCUAAUAACAAACUAACUUUCCAAUGACUAAUUACAACAGAAAUCACUAACUAUCCAAUGACUAAUUACAACAAAAUCAAGAUAAACAAUUAUCCUUAAUAUGCCCCCUCAAACUGAACUUGGGCAACCGAAGUGAUAGUUUGUCUUAAGCAACAGAAAACGAGACUUGGACAGAGAUUUAGUACAUAUAUCUGCAAUUUGAUCAUGUGAACAUACAAACUGAACAGUUACAGCUUUAGAGAGAACUUUUUCCCUGAUAAAAUGAUAGUCAAUCUCCACAUGUUUAGUCCUUGCAUGAAAUAAAGGAUUUUUUGCUAAGGAAAUCGCAGAAAUGUUAUCACACCACAAUUUUGGUGGAUAUGGAAGAGAUAGACCAACAUCAACAAGCAAUUUACAAAGCCAUGAAAGCUUAGCAGCAGUGUUAGCAAGAGAUCGAUACUCUGCUUCAGUGGAUGAGCGAGCCACUGUUGGUUGCUUUUUAGCACUCCAACUAAUAAGAGAGUUUCCAAGAAAUAUGCAAUAACCUCCAGUUGAUCUUCGGUCCAAGGCUUACCCUGCCCAAUCAUCAUCUGAAAAGGCAUUUGUAAUGAGUGAAGAUGAUGUUUUUGGAAACCAUAGUCCCAAAUCAAGAGUGCCCUUCAAGUAUCUCAAUAUUCUUUUAACUGCCUGCAAGUGAGACUGUCUGGGUUGAUGCAUAAGCUGACAGACCAAGUUAACAGCAAAGGAUAGAUCAGGUCGAGACCAAGUAAGGUAUUGUAACCUUCCUACAAUUGAUUUGUACUCAUCUGGAUGAGAGAGCAAUGGAGAAGAGUGGUCAAGUUUUGAUGUACUGAGAGGUGUUGCACAUGGUUUUGCACCAGCCAUGUUGGUCUUGGUAAGUAGAUCAAGAAUAUACUUGGGUUGUGAGAUAAAAAUACCAGAUAAUGACCUUUUAACCUCAAUUCCAAGAAAGAAAUGAAGAGGACCCAAGUCCUUGAUUGGAAAUAGAGAACUCAGUUGAGCUAUUGUGUCUUUGCAAGCCUGUGAAGAGGGACCCGUGACCAAGAUGUCAUCAAUAUAGACUAGGAUAAAAACCAGAGAAGGUUCAUUCUUGACAAAAAGAGAAUGAUCAUUAUGUUAUCCAUGAAAUCUCAUUGAUUUAAGUGCACCAUGAAGCCUCUCAUACCAGGCGCGAGGAGCCUGCUUUAGUCCAUAAAGACUCUUGUGAAGUUUGCAAACAUAGUGGGGCUUUGUAGGAUCUUGAAAACCAUAUGGUUGCUGCAUAAACACAUUCUCAGAUAGAUUACCAUGUAAAAAGGCAUUACUAACAUCAAACUGAUUGAGAAACUAAUCAUACUGAGAUGCUAGUGUGAGAAGAAGCCUGAUGGUUACUGGUUUAGCCACAUGGUUGAAUGUUUCUGUAUAAUCUAAACCCUCAUGUUAAUGAAAACCCUUGGCUACUAAACGAGCCUUGUAUCUGUCAAUAGUGCCAUCAGCUUUCCUUUUAAUACGGAACACUCAUUUACAACCAACAUGAUUAUGAGAAGGAUGUGGGGGAACAAGAAACCAAGUGCCUAUGUGAACCAGGACAUUAAAUUCCUCUUGCAUAUCUUGUCUCCAGUGAGGAUGUUUUGAAGCUUGGAGAUAAGUAGCAGGAAGAUUAUCUGCAGAAAUUUGGGAAGGAAGAGGGUGUUUGGUAGCUGAAUAGGCUUUUGGUUUAAAAAUGUUGGAUUUUGAUCUUGUUUGCAUAGGAUGAGUGUUUAAAGGUGGGGUUGGUGAUAUGUGUGAGGAAUGAGGAGAGACAGGGUGAGGAGAAUGAGGGAGAGGAGGUGAAAAAGUUGAAGUAGAAAAAGGUGCAUAUUGAUUUAGGUUGAUUACAAGUUGCAUAGGAUAAGAUGCUGCAGGGAAUUUGGUGAAGGUAAGAGUUGAAGGUAUGGGAGAGGAAAAGAUUGAGGCUGAGGAUGAAGAAGAUGAAACUGGAGAAACUUGAUGAAAUGGGAAAGUCAGCUCAUCAAAGAUGACAUGCCUUGAAAUAUAAAUCUUGUUGGAUUGAAGAUCAAGACAUCUAUAGCCAUUGUGAUUGAGACUAAAGCCAAGAAAGACACAGGGCUUGCUUUUGGGUUCAAGUUUGGAAGCUACAUAAGGUUUUAGCCAAGGAAAACACCUGCACCCAAACACUUUACGUGUUGUAUAAUCUGGAGGCUUGCUGAAAAGUUGUUCCCAAGGACAGGAUCUAGACAUAGUAGGCAACCUGUUUAUGAGAUAAAAUGCUGUGGAGAAUGCUUCAACCUAGUAAACAUGAGGAACAUGAGAAGCAGCUAAAAGUGUGCGAGCAACUUAUACUAAAUGUCUAUGCUUGCGCUCCACACAGUCAUUUUGUUUUGGUGUGUGAGGGCAUGAGAGUUGAUGAUGAAUGCCAUUGUCUUUAAGAUAUUGAAUAAACACGGAACUAAGAAAUUCACCAUCAGAGUUAGAUCGUAAAGUGACAACUUUAGUAUUUAACAAAGAUUCGACAAGAACUUUGAAUUCAACAAAGGUUUUAAAGACCUCAGAUUUACAUUUGAUCGGAAAGAACCAGUUAUAUCGACUGAAAUCAUCCACUAUAAAAAGAUAAAACCGAUAACCAGAUACAGAGAGAAAUGGAGCUGGACCCCAAACAUCUGCAUGUAAAAGUUCCAAAGGUCUAGUGGUAACACUAGAAGCUGAUACAAAUGGCAGUUUUGAACUUUUACCCAAUGCACAAUUUGAACAGAAGGUUUUAUUCAUAAUAGUAGUGAGAGGAAUACUAGACUUAGACACAAGUUUAUGUAAAACUUUGAAAGAGAGAUGACCCAAUCUUUGACGCCAAAUCUCUGGAGAAGCUUUGAUAGUAGCUGCAAAAUCUUAUGUGAACCAUCAUUGACAGAUGUAAUGAAUGGAUAAAAUCCAUUUUGCACAGGUCCUUUAAAAAGCGUCCUCUUCGAAAUAUGAUCCUUCACAGCGAAGUGAAAAUGAUAUAGGCGAAUUGAACACCAAUUAUCAAGUGUAAAUUUAUUUGCAGAGAGUAAAUCUUGCUUCAAAUCAGGCACAUGUAACACAUCAUGCAAAUCAAAACGAUGAUGAGGAGUAGAUAUAGAGGUAGAACCAGAAUUAGAUAUAGGCAAACCUUCACCAAUGUAGACUUGUUCAGGGCCGGUGUAUGGUGCUGGAUUUUGAAGAUUCGCCAGAGAACUUGUCAUAUGUGAGCUAGCUUCUGAAUCAAGAAGCCAGGAAUGAGAAGUACUCUGUGAAGGAUUAGCACACAUAGCCAUCUAAGAAUGUCGAUUGCCAAACUGAGGAUUCAUACAAUGAGGGCAAUCAUAGGCUUCAUGAUUAUACUGACGACAUAUUUGACAAGUUGAUAUUCUGCCACUGAAAUUAAAGCCCGAGCGACCUCCACAAUUGUUCCUCUGAGUAUAGCGAGAGUAAUUUGGACGCUGACUGUUACCACAAUAACCGGAGAAAUUGCCCUUAUUUUGAGAAUUCCUAGGGUUAGACAAAAUGCGAGCUUGAGAACAACCUUGAUACUGAUUAAACUAAGAUGAAUUCUGAGCAAGAAAGGCCUGAGAGCCAGUAUUGGAAGUCGGUGUAGGAAGAAUGCCAGAGGAUAAUGCAAGAUUCGAAUUGAGGCCUGAAAAACGCCAGAGGAUGUAGUAGCUUUCUUGCGAGUGGUAAGCUGAAUUUCUUUACUUAGAAGUAAGCCAUGUAACUCAUCAAGUGUUGUAGAGCCAAGACGGAAUUGGAUCGCAUCAACAAAGGAAUCAUACUCCGGCGGCAGGCUAUGAAGAGUUAUAGAAAUCAGAUCAGAGUCUUCAGUCGGAGCUUCGGCGCUGGCAAGAGCAUCAGCAAUGUCUUCAAUUUGUUGAAGAUAAGCAAAGGCGGUGGAAUCACCUUUUGAAAUAUUAUGAAGACGAGAUCGGAGUUCAUGAAUAUGUGAUUGAGAAGCUGCUGCAAGGCACGAUUCAAGCUUAGACCAUAGCUCUCGAGAGGAAUUUACACCCAUAGUAUAGGGAAUUAGGGAUUCAGAAAGUGUAGAGUUGAUCCAUAUGAGAAUAUUUUGAUCAUUCGCAUACCAAGAAACAUAGUCAGGGUUGAAAUUGCGAUUACCGGAAGAAUCAAGAAGAAAUUGAGGCGGUGCCGCCAUAGAUCCAUCAAUGAGACCGGUAAGAUUGUAGCGACGGAAGAUUGGGGCAAAGAGAGCACUCCAGGUCAAGUAAUUUGUAGUGGUGAGCUUGAUUGGCACCAUAGAUCCGAUGUUUUGGAUCAUAAUGGAGGUAGAAGAGAAGAAUUAGGGUUUGAGGAAGAAGUCGGAAUGGGAUGAACAUGUGUAGCCGAUUCCGACGAAGGAUACGCCAUGGCUGAAUUGAUGAGAGAAACUUGAAGAGAUCAAACGCGAUCGAGAAAUCGAUCAGAGAAUCAGAGAAUCAGAAAAGAGAAAAAUUGUAGGGAGAAGCGAGAAGGAUUGGAUCGAAGAGGGAGAAGUCAAAAGACAAAGGCAGGUGAUACCAUAUUAGAAAAGUAUUCUCAUUGAAUGAAUAAUUAUAGUACAUUUGGUAUUUAUACAGAGAGCUAUAUUUGAUAGCUCAUCAAAACUAACCUAUAACUAUCCAAUACCAAACUAACUGUCCAAUGACUAAUUACAACAUAAAUCACUAACUAUCCAAUGACUAAUUACAACAAAAUCAAGAUAAACAACUAUCCUUAAUACCCUAGCCAUUCAUGGAGAUCAUGGUGGCCUUGUCAUAUAUGGGGAGGACCAAAAUACCCCUUUCUGGUCCGCUAAUGUCACCGUCUCUUCUCCAAACAAAUUCGUGGUAGCCAAGCUUUUGGAUACGGGCUGGACAGGCAGUCCGGGCUAAACCGGUUCCCCACAUCUUGGAAGUCCCAAAAUGACCCGGGAACGGGCAACUGUUAGUACCGGAUAGAGUCAAGUGAGAGUCCACAGCAGUUCUUAUGCAAGGGUCAGACUCCAUUAUGGGGGGCAGUGGCGAAGCUACGUGAGGACGAGGAGUGGCAGCCGCCCCUCCCCUCGCCGGAAAUCAAGCACAGGAGCGGCGAUUCCGCCCCUCCGAUCUCGUCGGAAGUGAUGAAAUUCCGUUUGGUUUUCUGGCCUUUUGGGUUUCCCUGUUCUAUCACAGCACAGGCUGAUCACGGGCUCUCUUUUUUUUUCCAAAAAAAAAAACCUAGGCCAAAGAAAUGAGGAAUGAAGAUCUGCAUUUAGCAGCUUCUGGAUAUUGGAAAUGUUCUGGUUUGGUUCUAACGAAGAAGAGGAGAAAGGAAGAAGAGAGAGACUCUCUCUCUCCCAUCCCACCCCACGUGACCUUUACAAUUUGUUUUUUUUUUAAAUAUUGGCCAACCAAUAUGCGCCACCUAACCUGCUUUUGUUGAUUUAUAUUGGAAUUUAUUUUAUUUUUUAAUUAUUGUCCAAUUAAUUUGACCAAUCUUUCAAUAUUUAUUAAACCACUUGUUUGACACUGUUAUUUAUCUUAAAAUUCACUAUAAUUUAUACGAGCUUCAAAAAAUAAUUUGUAAAAUAUUAAAAACUUGUAAUUAUGUUUUUUCUUCUCUUACCAUCAAAUUCAACAAAGUAAUGAAGAAAAUUUGUCAAUAUUUUUAUAUAUUAUAUGUUUUAUAAUCAAUGUUUUUUGGAUAUUACAAACUAUAUAAUAAAUAGACAAUUAUUUAUACGGUGUAUAAUAAAUUUAUUCAAAUUUGCCUAGGUCCUUGCCGAAGUGUAAAGUCAUGUCCAUCGUCUGACUAGAGCUUAACAUCUUUUAAAACUUUGCUAAUUAUACAGUUAAGUAAUAGGACGAUACAACGAGAAACGGUGCUAAAUCAUCCUUCAAAUAAUAUUGUUUUUCAAACCCUCCUUCGACUAUUUUGAGUAGUCCAAAUCCUCUUUUGAAUAUUUCGGUUAGUGCAAAUUCUCCUAUGAAUAUUACGGGUGGUUCAAAUAAUCUUCUUGCAAAUGCAAGACUUACACCUCGAAUGAAUGUUCACAUUUUUCGGGACCCUAAAUUUUUUAAAUUUCGCCCCUCCCCCCAAGAAUUCCUGGCUUCGCCACUGGUGGGGGGCUGGAUCUUGGACCAGUGAAAGAUGGUCCAGGGUGCCUGCAAUGACGAAAAUUUUCAUCUUCAACGCUACUUUUGUGAACAAUCAAGAUGAGGUAUCCGUCAUGUAUGGUAUUGUUGAUGAAUCAAUCUUCUCAAAAUUGGUGAUCGAUGAAUCAGGAAUCCUUGAACGGACCAAAUGGCAAGAUCAAGCGCAUCAAUGGGUCAAGUUUUGGUCCGCCCCGGUUAAGCAAUGUGAUUUUUACUGGAAGUGUGAUUUUUACAUUGCGGAUAAAUUUGAGUGCAAUUGCCUACCUGGAUUCGAACCCAAGUUGCAACAUGAGUGGUAUUUGAGAGAUGGGUCAGGCAGGUGAGUGAGGCAAAAAGGAUCAUCCGUUUGCCAAAACGGGGAAGGGUUUGUGAAGUUGGAACGUGUGAAGGUGCCGAACGCUUCUAUGACACGGGAGAGCAUGAGUAUGAGUCUGAAAGCAUGUGAAGAAGAAUGCCUGAGAAAUUGUUCUUGCAUGGCAUACGCAAUUGCAGAUGAAGGGCAGGGAGGGAGUGGGUGUAUAACAUGGCAUGGGGACUCGAUGGACACAAGGACUUAUUCGGAUACGGGUCUAGAUUUAUAUGUGCAAGUUGAUGCAAUUGUUUUAGGUAUAUUUUCAUUAUCAAUUUAUCUUCUUUCUUUCUUUACAUUAUCAAUAAUUUUCCUCGUACCGUCGACGUUCCAUGAAAAAAAAACUCUUCUUUCUUUUAUUUCAUAAAAUAUUUGAGGAAUUAUUAUUUAGUUUGGGAGCCGUACGUUUGUUAACGUUCUAAAGAAAUCAUUUGGCACGGGUCUCUUGACAAAUAAUAAAAGUGAAAUUGUUUCAUUAAGAGUGUAAGAUGAUUUUUUUGGAGUACUCAUAAAUUUUGGAAAUUAAUAUAAGUUCUCACGCUAAAAAUUGAGUUUCAUACAUCUGUUAAAAUUGUUAUUAAAUCAACCGUUAACUGGUGACGUGAUGCUUACGUGGAUAAUAAUUAAGCGCCACGUGUCAAUGGGCCCACGUGGACAUUAAAAAUAAAAAAAAUUCAAGGCUUCUCCUACCUCACCCCCUCCGUCUCUUCUCCCUUCUCCCACCUCUGCACCGACCCUUCCGCACACCAACCUUCAAUUCCUCUUCAAUUCUACGCUCUCCCUCUCUCUGUGACAAAAAAAGAAAAUUUUAACUCUUUUUUUUUCUGGGCGUCUCCUACCUCACCCCGCGCGUCCCCCCCCCCCUCCCCCCGGCGCGCCUACUCCCGUGAACUCGCCUCCUCCUUCGGGAUCACGUUCUGAUAAAAAAAAUUUAAGGAACCUAGCCCUCGGAAACCCUCCUUCAGCAAAUUCGAAGAACCAAAUCCCCGAGGGACCUGAUUUCGACCAACAACCGAAAGUGGGUGUGCCCAGGAGCGACGACUGAGGGGAUUUGCUAAGGUGGUUGUGCCCAGGAGCAACGACAGUGAAUCGGCGGCAGGAAGGUUGAAUUGAAAGGUGGGAGUUGUCUUAAUAGCGCCAUAUCACCAGUUUGUAAGAAACCUAAUUGGACUAAAUUAAAUUGUAUAAGAAAGAAAUGCAUUUGCCAAUUGUACAAACUGGUGGGAGUUGUAAACGUGCAAAACUGCUUACUAUAAUCAAGGAAUAUGUGGUGAUUCUGAUCAGGAAACAACUUGCAAUCUGAAACUGCAAAUAACUGUAAAGAACCAACGGUCCACGAUAGAUGGAAGUUGGCAAAGGUUAUACUUAUAAAAGGACUCCCUGCUCACAAAGAAAACGUUCUGUAAUUAGGGUUCUAUCACCAUUGGAACAUAAGGUCUUGAGUGAGUAGAAGAAUUCUUGAGUGUGUUAACAGUAACCAUGGCUGCACUAGGUAAGUCUUUCUUAUCUAAUUUCAAAUUGUGACCUAGUAUGCAUGCUAAUAACUAAGGUUUUUCCAACAUUUGGUAUCAAAGCUAUGUUAGCAAGCCCCUAGGUCGGAUGAAUUAAUAAAAAAUCCUAAUGCUUUAAGAAUGUACAAAAUUUGUAUGGUGAUUGCUGCAGUUUAUUUUUAUCGUGGGCACUAUAAUUCUUCCACUAAUAUGUAUUUCUCUUCUCUGUGUUUGUGUUGGUUGGUGGAGUUGGGUUUUUUGGAUCUUUUGAAUUGGAGCUUCAAAUUCCAUCGUGCAUGUGUGGUUCAAGCAUGUUGCCCAAUCUGAAAUUCUCACUCUCUCAAUCGGCUGGAUGGUGUCUUGGUUUUGUUGAUGCUUGGUUGAAGGAACAGAUAAUCAUGCUAUUUUAACCAUUGGACAAAUGUUUAUUAAAUCUUCACCAAAGUGGGAUUUUAUGGAAAUUUUGGUCUGGGACAGGAAGCAUGGAGUGAUUCAAUUUCCAAGGCUUUAACUCUUGUUGACGACGAAACCAAGCAAAGAUCGCAGGGCCUCAAGAAGAUCUUACUGGCCUCGGUCUUGGCCAUGGUGGCGGAGACGACGUUUCCGGUAGACAUUACGAAGACUUCCAUUUUGCUGCGAUAAUGACUGCUCCAAUGAUCAUGGAUUCAAUUGGGGGAAAUGCCGAAAAUGGCAAACUCCUUUCUCGAGGAGGUGCUGGACCAUGUGUUCUCAUUCAUAUAGACGAACCAGGACCGGAACUUGAUUUCGGUAGUGUGUGCAAGUUGUGGUACGAGAUCAAACUAUGGUGCUGGCGGCGUGCAAAACUGCUUCCUAUAAUCAAGGAAUAUGUGGUGAUUGUGAUCAGGAAACAACUUGCAAUCUGAAACUGCAAAUAACUGUAAAGAACCAACACUCCACGACAGAUGGAAGUUGGCAAAGGUUAUACUUAUAAAAGGACUCUGCUCACAAAGAAAACAUUCUGUAAUUAGGGUUCUAUCACCAUUGGAACAUAAGGUCUUGAGUGAGUAGAAGAAUUCUUGAGUGUGUUAACAGUAACCAUGGCUGCACUAGGUAAGUCUUUCUUAUCUAAUUUCACAUCGUGACCUAGUAUGCAUGCUAAUAACUAAGGUUUUUCCUACACAGUUAACUGCUGAUUUAACAGCAAUAUUAACAUAUGUAUGAAACUGUCCCAAACUUAUGACUUCAGGUACCAUUCUGGGAUGAAAAAAACUUCAUGUACCAAAUGUUGAAAAUCAAGAAACUUCAGAGUAGUAAAUUGAGAUUAACCUUUGUUAAAAAUUAUAAUCCUCUUAUCUGUACGGUGAUUUAUACAAAACACUGUACAAAUGGUGAUUUUUACAUAAAACUAUAUUAUAGUGAUUUCUACAUAAAAUUAUAUCAAAAAUAUUUGAGAUGGUAGUCAAAUCUUAUGCAUAAAACUCUCUUAUGAUAGUGCAAAAGUUUUUACUGAUUAGAAAUAGUUCAAAAUUGUUUGAGUGCGGUAUUGGACUUGAAUUUUUUAAACUGACUCUAGCUCAUAUCUCAUAAGAAUCAAGCCAAGCCUACUUGCGAGCUCGAAAAAAUUAAUCAAGCCAAAUUUAAACACAAUAGUAUUCGGUUCGGCUUGACUAGUUUCCAAUCCUACAUUUAUUUAUUUAUUUGUUGAUAUUUGCUCUUUACUUCUUUUCUAUAAAAUUGUUUCUUGCAAAAGAAAAGCGUAUAAUGUUGACCCAGCAAUAGAAUUAUAAUGGUCUAGCAUAACUCUUGUAUAUUAUUAUAUGGUUUUUCAAACUAAAUAAGGGCUUUGUUAUGUGCUUUUUGUAGAAGCAUUUUAAGUGUUUUUUUUAAUAUUUACUUGCAUUUUUACAGAUCAUUGAUACCAAAGCACUCUUAUUAAAAGAACUUUCAAUUAUUUAAACACUUUUAAAUGAACCCUAAAAUACAGAAAAAAAUAAAAACAAAACAGCGUAAUAGGAUGAGCUUUUCGGUUAACAUGUACAUAAUUUAGUCUAUCCACUUUGGCAUUCUAAUGGCGGCACUAACAUAAUUUAGUCUAUCCACUUUGGUAACGUAAAGAAGUGGUAAACCACGAAUUUAAACUUUGGCAGAAGAAAGCAAAAGAGUUGAAUAAAUUAUUACUGGAUGGUUCAAUGAACCCAAAAAUAUCAGAUUUUGGCAUAGUAAGAAUGUUUGGGGAUGACCAAAUUGAAGCAAACACGAACAAAGUUGUUGGCACCUAGUAAUUGUCUCCUCUCCCUAUAAAAAAAAUAAAAUUAAGUAGAACCGAUAUAUAUAUAUAUAUACAUUUUUUUUGAUAUUGUGUGAUUGCAGCGGUUACAUGUCACCAUAGUAUGCUAUGGAUGGGUUAUAUUCCACAAAAUCCGAUGUGUUUAGCUUUGGAUGCUUGGCACUAGAGAUCAUUAGUGGAAGGAAGAACAGCUUCCAAUUCGAAAAGUCAUCUUUGAAUUUGGUUGGAAUAGUAAGUAAACAAAUAAUUUUUCAGACGAUGAAUCUAACUUUCGAGUAGUCCAAUGAUCUAAACAUUGUGCUCAAAAUUGUUUCAAAUAUGGGAUUUGUGGACAGAAGGAAAAGUUUUGGACAUAAUUGAUUCAUCACUGAAGCAGUCAUAUUCGACUCAUGAAGUUAUGAAAUACAUUCAGAUUGGGCUUUUGUGCGUGCAAGAGUACCUAACAGACCGGCCAACCAUGCUAGAUGUUGUGUUCAUGUUGGGGAAUGAAACGAUUCUUCCACAUCCGAAAAAGGCAACGUUUAGCUUGAAAAACAGUGGUCUGGAUUCUUCAAUUUGUAAAGGUUCUUCUUUUGUAAAUGAUGUAACAAUAAUAGUUAUUGAAGCUCGUUGAGUUCGCACUUUGCGGGCUCUUGUAGAGAUUUUGCAUUACUUCUCAAGUUUUUUUACUCAAAUCGAGAUUCCUUGUGGAGAGAAGAGGCAAUGCCUUUGAAAUUGUUGAUUCAUCUCUGGGCAAAUCGUACCCUGUCAACGAAGUUGUGAGAUGCAUCUAAAUUGCCCUGUUAUGGACUGUAAGUAGGAUUAGAGUUUAGUUAUAAGCUAUAACUUGGGUUCCAUGUAAAGAUAAUAUUCUAGUUAUUCUUGGAGAAUAAGAGCUCCUGAUAUUAUCCUAUUUUGAUUUAGAUUUGGUAGAUUAUUUCCUCGUACAAUAACGAGUCCUACUGACAUCAUUAUGGGAGGAUGAAUUAGGUUUUUUUUUUAACAAACGAUAUUAUCUACACUAAGGGGGUGGCAGAGUGGGCUAUGCCUCAUAAUAGGGUUCAAAUUUGCCUUUGGCGAGAAUCGAAUCUAAACCUCUCACUUACCAGUGAAGAAGAAUAUCAUUAGACUGUAGUACUAAGUGGCGGGAGGAUGCAUUAGGAUUGAGUUAGUAUAAAUACUAAACAUAAGUCCCUGCACAUACCACUAAAUAACAACCCAAAAGAAUUCCCCAGAGGUUUGAGUUAUACAAUGGUGGUGAGUGUGUAGGCGGCCUUGCUUGUGUUCUUAGUGUGCUCGUGUGCUUGCUGCAAUUCGUGGCUUGUUGUGCUAUUGAGAAUGGCUUCUCAAGGUUAGUGUUUUCAUGGCGUUUUGAUUCACAUGAACAUAUUAGGUUUAACAGAGUAUGCCACUGAGCUGCCAACAAUGUCGGUGGUUGUUUUCAUGCUAGGUAAUGAAGCAGCAGCUCCAUCACCAAAACAACCAGCAUUUUUAUUGGAGUUAUAUAUAACAAUGGAGACCCAUCACCACAAUACUGAAGGAUAAAAUUUUGUAAACGAUGUGAGAUGUAGUAGCGUAGAACCUCGCUAAAACUCUUAAGAUAUUCCGAAAUGCUGUAUGUUAAGCAACUAUUGGUAGCUUGUAAAAGGUUAUUAACCACAAAAAUUUUGCCUCAAAUAAGUAGGUUCCAAUUUUCUUUCUAGUGCAUUGACAUGCAGGGCAUGUCAAAAUUAUUGGUCUCGAUUACAACGUAAUUGAAGAGAAAUUAUACUAGUCUAGUUAGCUAAUUCUGUAAAUUAUGUGACAUAUAUUAUGGUGGGGCCUUAGCUAACAGAAAACUUGGCGAGAAAUCGAGCACAAUGACAUUAUAGAAUUCAUACAACUGACUUUACUUAAUAAGAUAAGACUUUAUUGUUGUUGUUGUUUGUACUAUGGUGGAUGCUUGAUUGCUAACAGCCUUGGAUUUGAAAUGUAAAUCCGUCCACUACAUAUGACACAUUCACAUUUAUUAGAGUUUAAGAAUGAGAGAUUUGUGUUAGUCAAACUUCAUGUACAGGAGAGAAGAUGUUGAUCUGUGAUGCUUUGCUUGCCAAAUAAAUAAAAGGAAAAUUAAUGAAAAUGACUUGAAAACUUUGAAUUUUAACAAAAAUGACAAAAAGAUGUUGUAAGUGAAUAGUACGAGGAGUGACUUUUUAGAGUAAAUUCGUUAAAGUAAACAGUACCAAAAGUAUUUCGUUAAAACUCCCGUAAAUAAAUUCCAAGACUUUUCAAAUUGGUUGACCUUUAUUUCAUUUUAUAACAGAUCGCUUUUACCAUAAUGUCCAUACUAAUCACACCUAGCAUUUUACUAUCUACUAGCACAUUACGGGGUGUUGAAUUUUAUGACAAAAAUGAAAGUUAAAAUCAUUUAUUAUAUAUUGUAAUUUAUUUAUCAAUUUUUCGACAUAUAUUUUUGCAUUCUUCAACAGCGUGAACAUCUCUCUCCCUGGCCACUACGGGUCGUACUUGGCCCCAUUCGGAGCCAAUUUGUCUUAUCAAUCUACUGAAUACAACUGGUGUGGUCAGAAUUGAUGAAGUGGAACUUUCUAGCUAGGAUCAGUUUGAGGGAAUUGUUAUGUCUCGUCCACAUGUUUGCCUGGAAGUUGCGUGUAAGUUCAUGUUGCAUCAACGACUGGAAAUCGAGGGUGCGUUCACCGUUGCAUCAACGACUGGAAGUCGCCCGUAUGCCCUUAGAGUUACUGAAACUCAAUCCAAGAAAACAAAAUCCAACCUUUCCGGCUUUUUGUUUCUGCAUGUCAAAAGAAGCAGCCAUUUUAGCACUUAAACUCCUCCAUGAGAAAGCUAACAAUGAAUUCUACUGAAUACUUUUUUGUCAGUACUGUAUUGCUCCUCUUCCUUGUGAUUCUUCCCUCUUCCAUUUCGGUUACCCUAGACGCCAUUACACCAAACCAACCCCUAAGAGAGGACGACGUUCUUCUCUCCACCACUAAAUUCUUUGCACUAGGGUUUUUUAAGCCAGGCAAUUCUCGUAACCGUUACAUCGGAGUUUGGUACAACAAAAUUCCAAUCCAAACCAUUGUUUGGAUUGCAAACAGAGAAAACCCCAUAGUUCCUACUGCUGGAACUGGACUUCUAGCCAUUCAUGCAGAUCACGGUGGCCUUGUUUUGUAUGGGGAGGACCAAAAUACCCCUAUCUGGUCCACUAAUCUCACCGUCUUCUCCAAACAAUUCCGUGAUAGCCAAGCUUUUGGAUACGGGAAAUCUUGUUGUAGUUGAAAUUAAUGGCGGUAGUAGUGAAAAGGUGUUGUGGCAAGGUUUUGAUUAUCCCACAAAUACGAUGCUUCCUGUUAUGAAACUUGGGCUGGACAGGCGAUCCGGGUUCAACUGGUUCCUCACAUCUUGGAAAUCCCAGGAUGACCCGGGAAUGGGCAACUGUUCGUACCGGAUAGAGCCAAGUGAGAGUCCACAGGGGUUCUUAUACAUGGGUCAGACUCCAUUGUGGCGGACUGGACCUUGGAUCGGUGAAAGAUGGUCCGGGGUGCCUCAAAUGCAAAAUAAGAUCUUCUUCAACGUUACUUUUAAGAACAAUCAAGAUGAGGUAUCCAUCAUGUAUAGUGUUGUUUAUGAAUCAAUCUUCGUAAAGAUGGUGAUCGAUGAAUCAGGAAACAUUGAACGGUCCGCAUGGCAAGAUAAUAAAUGGGUCCAGUAUUGGUCCGCGCCGGAUGGGCAGUGUGAUUUUUACGGGAAGUGUGGUCCGAAUAGCAUUUGUGACCCAUACCCAAAAUUUGCCGAUAAAUUUGAGUGCAAAUGCCUACCUGGAUUCGAACCCAAGUUGCGACAUGAGUGGUAUUUGAGAGAUUGGUCAGGCGGGUGCGUGAGGCAAAAAGGAUCAUCCGUUUGCCAAAACGGGGAAGGGUUCGUGAAGUUGGAACGUGUGAAGGUGCCGGACACUUCUACGGCACGUGUGAACAUGAGUAGGAGUCGGGAAGCAUGUAAAGAAGAAUGCCUGAGAAAUUGUUCUUGCACGGCAUACGCAAAUGCAGAUGAAAGGCAGGGAGGGAGUGGCUGUAUAACAUGGCAUGGGGACUUGAUGGACACAAGGACUUAUUUGGAUACGGGUCAAGAUUUAUAUGUGCGAGUUCAUGCAAAUGUUUCAGGUAUAUUUCCAUUAUCAAUUUAUCUUCUCUCCUCUCUUUUCCUUAUCAAUAAUUCCCCUCAUAACGCCAAGGUUCCAUAUAAAAAAGAAAAAAAAUCUUCUUUCUUUAUUUCAUUAAAAAAUUUGAGGAAUUAUUAUUUAGUUUGGUAAUUGUACGUUUGUUAUCAUUUAAAAAAAAAAAUCAUUUGGCACUGAUCUCUUGCCAAAUAAUAAAAGUGAAAUUGUUUCAUCAAGAGUGUAAGAUGACUUUUUUAGAGUACUAAUUUUUUUUAUAAAAAAAUUCAGAAAUUUCUAUAAAUUAAUACUAAAAAUUUAGUUCUUAUGGUCAUUGGAGCUUUUUACAAGGUUUUUUUUCCCAAAUUUUUUCAAGGUUUUUAAACAUGGAAAUAAAUGCUUGUAUAUUUGCAGCUCAAAAUGCAAAGAAGUCAAACAGUUCUUUUGGCAAGAAGAGGAAGCUGGAAGUUUCAGUAGCAUGUGGUCUAUUGUUCUUCCUCUUGUUUUCCCUUGCAUGUUGGUUGGUAAAGAGGAAGAGAAAAGGUAAACAAAUUUCCUUUUACUAGGUUGCCCUCUAAUCAUUCACAAUUAUGAAUUAUAUAAGAACACAACAUUAUCUGUUUAUGUACUUUUAUCACAGGUCAGAGAAGUCAGGAUAAAUUUUUCAAUGUGACCGUAGCAUCAACCGCCUGGGAAGAUUCUUCUGCUAGAACAAAUAUUGAUGAAAGUGGAAUAAACUCUGAAUUACCAUUCUUUGAACUAAGUACCAUAGUUAAGGCCACAAAUAAUUUCGCUUCCAACAACAAGCUUGGAACAGGUGGUUUUGGCUCCGUUUAUAAGGUACGUUGUUGCCCUCAGAUAAUGUCUCAAAUCAUAAAUCAAACUUUGAAUAGACAUUUCUUAGAUUUAUUUUUUAGCCAUCUGCACUCCAAAUCAAUUAUUUUUACCUCUACUCACCCUUGUAGUUUAAACAGAAGAACAUAAUGAAGAAAUCUUGCAGAGAAAGAAAGAGAAUCAAGAAGAGAGAGGGAGCAAGAUUUAGGGAGAGAGAGAGAGAUCUUAGACAGAAAAAGUGAAUCUUUGUUAAUGAUUUCAGAAAAAAUACAAGGUAGUGAUCCAUAAGGAUAUAUAUCCAAACUAUAUUGCUUACAAGCUAAGCUAACAUUUAGCUCACAGGCUAUUGACACUUGCAAACAAUAGGAUUACAAGACCAUUACAGUUUAACAAAAAUCAAGAGACCCGUCCAAUAAAGACUGGAAAGGCUGACUCAAAAAUAUAUUUCAUUAAAAUUCAAACCCAAUCAAUAAUCGAUAAGUGAUGGGAACUAUCUUGUUUCGACUUUUCACAAUUAUCCCACACAGUGAUGUGGAUUUUGAAACUGUAUAAAACACGUAGAAAGUUUUAAAUCUAUAUAUGAUAAGCCAUACUACUUAUAUAUAUAUGUGUGUGUGUGUGUGUGUGUGUGGAAAUCUAUUCACAAACCUAUUGUUAAGCCAUACUACUUAUAUACAAGUGAUGGUUGCAUGGUAUUAAUCUUCUACACAGAAAAAGCAAGUGUUUCCCACCCUAGGAAAUUGUUAAGCACCUAUCAAACUAAUUGAUUGGAAACAGUAUGGUGCUUCCCAAUCUAAAAAGUCAAUGACACUAAAGCAGCAGAUUAGCGAAUAGAUUAGUGAAUAGUUAAUUAUGAUUUGUUUUGGGUCCAAAGAAACCUUGUUAGGUGAUGGUGAAUCAAUAUGAAAGUAAACAAUGCCGAUUUCAAAAUGGAAACUGAAGAGCUAUUCGUUGAAUGAAGUAACAAUUAAAUCUGUUAAAUUACAGCAGGAGAAGUCUAAUAUAUACAGAAAGCCGCAUAAGUAAACAUAUACCAACCAAAAAGUGGGCUAAUCCAACCAAUCUCACCAAUGGACAUUGUCACCCGAGCAAUUGUCGGACUACAUCUUAGACGAAACAAAAAAAUGCUGAGGAAAAUGAUCAUUACCCAAAAUUCCAUUCUGAACAAAUAUUUGGACCAAUAACGAAGAAUUCUAGAAAAACAUGAAAAACUUAAUAAAACCCAAUUUAAACGAAGAACUCCAUCUGAAGCAGAUUUUCACAUGCAAUAGUUGUAGAAGAUGCCUAAGAUGAUAAGGAGUCAUUUGAGACCAUCAACUCAACCCCAUUCGAACGCAAUCACAAAAUCAAAAAGGACAAAAUGGGCAAACAAAAACAAUGAGAAAGCACCUACCUUGAGCUUGAAAGAGAGAGGAAGAAGAACGACGGUGCCCUUCUUCAGCAGAAUUUUGCCGAUAUUGUUUCCGGCCGUUGCCGCCAGCGCUAGGAAGAUCGACUCUCACAUCCCAAGAACCCUAAUUAUAAACUCCCAAUCAAACGCAAAAAGGAUAGAGGAAGCCCAAAUAAAGGGAAAUUCGAGAAAUUCAACAUACCGUAAGACGCUUUCUGACAUCAAGAGAUACGGGAAUCGGAGAGAAAAGAAGAGCAGAGGAAGAUGAAACAUUGUGGGUUUUCCAGUAGAGAAGGAGCGAGAGGAGGGAUGAGAGAUGACAGGAGAGCGCACGCGUAGGAGAGAAAGAGGAAUAGAGGUGAGAGGAGAGCGCGUCUAAACCGAUUCCCAACCGUACCAAACCCUCUGGAGAAAAUUGUGGGCAUUUUGGUCAACAAACAAAUAGUGGCAGAGUUGUAAAUACAACAAAAUAGUGCAAUUGAAAACCUUACUUUAGAUUAAAGUAAUAAUUCAAAAUACUGCAAUCUUUUGUUAUUUCAAUCGCAUUUCUCCUUCACUUGAAGUAGUCAAAGCAUUUUUAUGCAUAUGCAUUGAGUUUUACUCCUUUGUUAAUGUAUAAAUGCAAUUUCAAGGGGAGGAUAUAUAUAUAUAGAGCUACGAUUAUGUUGAUAAUUUUCCUGAAAGGUAAGUGCACUAUAAGUUGAAUUUGGAUUAUAAAUUCAGGGUGUGCUUGAUAAUGGAAAGGACAUAGCAGUGAAAAGACUAGCCAAGAAUUCUGGCCAAGGAAUUGGAGAGUUUAAGAAUGAAGUUGUGCUGCUUUCAAAGCUCCAACACAGGAACCUUGUAAGGAUCAUGGGUUGCUGCGUUCAAGAUGAAGAGAAGAUGCUGAUCUAUGAAUACUUGCCAAACAAAAGUCUUGACUUUUUCAUUUUCGGUAUGUCUUUCGUUCACUUUUGUUAUUCUUUUUAUACAAGCAAUAUUGUGGAGGGGAAAUCAAGCUCAGGACCUCAGGUGUAGGAUUGAAUGCUCUUAACUCAACUUAGUUACAACUGCCUUUCUUUUAACUUGUGUAUCUAAAAUUGUCGGUUAGAAACCUUGAACCAAGCAAGAAUACAAUCUAAUUUACUUUGAUUAUUUUUUUUCCCAUACAAAGCAAAAGAGGCGUUCUUGGAUUGGACAAGAUGCUUUGAGAUAAUCUGUGGGAUUGCUAGAGGGAUCUUAUAUCUUCAUCAGGAUUCGAGAUUAAGAAUCAUCCAUAAAGAUCUAAAGGCCAGCAAUGUUCUGUUGGAUUCUGCUAUGAACCCCAAGAUUUCAGAUUUUGGUAUGGCUAGGAUAUUUGGAGCUGAACAAAUUGAAGCAAAUACAAACCGUGUGGUUGGGACAUAGUAAGUUUCAUUCAAAACUGAAAGUACACUUGUUUUUUAAAAGUUUCAUCCCUACAAGUACAAUUAACUUUUGUUGAAUAAUACAGAAAGAAGCUGUGAUAAUUAAGCAAUUUUAUUUUGUUGUUUCAGUGGUUAUAUGUCACCAGAGUACGCAAUGGAAGGAUUUUUUUCAGUAAAGUCUGACGUAUAUAGCUUCGGCAUUUUACUACUAGAAAUUGUUACUGGCAGAAAGAACACCGGCUACUACCAAGAUAGUCCUUACUCAAAUAUAAUUGGACAUGUAAGCAUAACAUUAAGACAUUACCAAACUUCUCUCCAUCUGCUUUUAUAACUUGAUGAUUAAUUUGUAAAUUUUUAGGUUUGGGACUUGUGGAAGGAAAAUAAAGCCUUGGAAAUCAUUGAUUCAUCUCUAGGAGAAUCAUACCCUGUCAAUGAAGUUCUAAGAUGUAUUCACAUUGCCCUCUUGUGCGUGCAAGAGCAAGCGAAGGAUCGUCCACUCAUGUCAGCAGUGGUUUCCAUGUUGGGUAAUGAUGCAGCAAUUCCUUCACCAAAGCAACCUGGAUUUUUGUUGAAGAGAGGUUAUCAUACUAGUGGAGACCCAUCAACCAAUACUGAUGGAGCUUGCUCUGUAAAUGACAUGACCUAUACAGAAGCAGAAGGUCGCUAAGGGGAGAACCAGACUUAUAAUCAGACAGACUAUAUUAUUCAAUUGAGAAUCACAUGAUGAGUGAGAUAAGAAGAGAGGAUAUACCCCGAUUUCACUCAAUAAUUUGCCUUAUAAC